rnacentral:lncRNA from 1 species
UCUUUUGCCGUUUGACUUUCGUAGCUCCGUUUGAGUUGAUUUUUUUGCAAAUCGGAGCUCUUGAACUAAACUUUCUGAUAAGGCCAAAUUCACAUAAUUUUGGUACUAUUAGAAAUUGUUUUAUGUUGCAAGAUGUUAUUUGCUUGGUUUUGAUGUUUUCCGAAUUGUUUUCUUUGUUCUCUCCGAUCUUCGAGUGAUUGCUUAUGUGUGGUUACUAUUGCUUGCUUACGAUAGAUUGACCGGAGUGUGACGAGUAGAGCUAUCAAGAGUUUUGAGUGCGAAUUAUCUUCAUCAACAUUGCAAGCAAGUUCACACUUUGAUCAUACCUCCUACUACCCAGUUUUAUUGCAUUAGAUCGAUCCUCAAACAUUGCAUGAUUAGGAUCUAAUUAAAUUGUGGGAUGGGAAGUAGUUGAGGUAGUACCUAUUACCUAUUUAUUAUCAAACCCUUGGGAGUUACUAUUACAUUAUGCUUAUAGUGCCAUGCUAUGCUCGUAGACGUGGAUUGGGUUUUGAGAGUAUUCAUGACAGAUGUGAGAUUGUUGAUUAAUGGUUUACUUAAGGUGGCAACUUAAACACACAUCUGGGUGGAUUGAGGCACCUGGUUAUUCCAGGAUUGCCUGUCUAGGCACCUGGGUAGACCAGGAUUGCCUGUUUUUUUUAUGGACCGCCACCCAGGCUCAAAGGGAUCAUGAGAUUAUUCAUACUAGAAACUUCUGUGUGCAGCCACAAGCUAUUAUGGGCUCUAGCAUAGUUGAUUAAGUCGUGCGAACUCUUACAGGGUAGACUAGCAGAUGUAGGGGAAAGUAGGUGUAACGGUCUAUCCAUCGUAAGGUGUUAGUGCUUCUGAAAGACUAUGUCUCAGUCAUCCGUCUUCUCAAACACCAUGUAGUGCGAGAAACCAAACGGAGGCGAUCGAGUCUUGCGGGGAAAAGUGCGCAAACCUCUGCAGAGUGUAUAAACUAAUCAUGAUUAGCCGUGCCCCCGGUUAGGGACAUCUUGAGUAUCUAGAACCUGGAUUAUCAUGUGAAUCUCAUCAUGUUACUUUAAAUGAAUAUUGUUGGGUUUUAAUGAUGAUAUUUAAUUGGGAUUGAGAAUGCUGUCAACCAUUAUCAAUGUUUAACAACCACCAUGAUAGUUAAAUAAAAUUUAUUCCUUUGCAGUAGGGAAAAUUGGCUUUUCGCAAAAACCUUUUAACCAUAGAGCUUUUCCACCAGCCAUAUAUGCAUGUAGUGAUAGACAUUGUUCAUCAUUCUCUAUGGUGUAAAUUUGCCAGUACAUUCAAUGUACUGACCCUCUAUGGCUGCAACGUCUCAUGUUGCAGGAUUUCUUACGACGAGUAAGUGAUACGUUAGGGUUACGAUUUCUACACUCAACUUUGCCGUUGGUGUUGAUGGGAAUCCACAACCUUGUUACUUCCGCUAUUUGGAUUGAGGUAAUAGUAUUUGCGUUACUUUUACAUGUGAUUUACCUCUGUUAUAAAUCCUCGAGUACUGUAUGUGUCAGCAUACCGAUCCAGGGAUGGCACUUAAGCACAGAGACUUGAUCCAUUCGGGUCGGGUCGCUACAUUGCACACGGUUCCAAUUUGGGGAACCGUGUGUGAUUGACAUACUACGUCUGUCCUGGUUUAUUGGUCCCCUUCGUAAUUUGUACAAAAUUUUGACCAAAUAUUUAACUAACAAAUGUUUACGCAUGUCACCAAAUAUUUUAUAUCAUUAAACACUAUGUUCAAAUACGCAUCCAACGAUAUAAUUUCUGCUGACCUACGCUAACAUUUUGUCAAAUAAAUCUUUGGUCAAAAUUUAACAAAUUACAAAGGGGACCAAUAAACCAGGACGGGGUAGAUUCCAUCAACCGAACUGAUUGCAUCCAUGUCCCACAUUUAGACAUAAGUAAACAUAGAUUAAACAUACUCAGACAUAGAUAAUAAGCGUACACAAGCAUAGUUCAACCAUAAGUACAUAGUUCAACCGUCAUUAAGCAUACUCAAGCGUACAUAGUUCGAUCCCACAUCUCAUGUCAUCUGUCGGCACGAUCCCGAAGCUUCUCCAGGUACUCAGCGUACGCGGCAUGCGCUACCCUACGAGAAUACUUCUGCUUGAAGGAGCCAACGGCUCGUCCUCUGGCAUGCGCCGAAACACUUUCAUACGCAUCAUGAAGAUUUUGGUUGCAAAAUGGGCAUCGAGAGCCGCCGUCCCGGGUCCUAAUACGCCUAUUAUGCCUUCCUGCAAAAUGCUCCCUCGGGAUUUGCCUCUUGUACCUCCUCUGGCCAUCUUCAUCCUCGUUGUCCACAUCGUUAGACAGCACCUAUACAAAUAGUAAAAAAUGUGUCGUCAAAUUAAUGCUUACAAACUAACCUCUAGCAAACAUUUGGCAGUUGCCAAAAAUUGGCAUCAAAUCAAUGUUUACAUGCCGUGAAGUAGGAUUAGAAAUUUAUGCCUAUUUUUAUACAUAUUCAGAGAUUACGGUUUGAGUUUUAAGCACAAUCGUCUAUGUACAGGACAAUCUUGAAAAAAAUAAUGGCACAAACAUAUAUGUAGGUCAUUCAAAAUCAAUUUUCAAGUCCUGGCUAGGAAUUAUUAGCACGAACACUAACCCUAGUCGGAUUACUAGCAGAAAUCAUUUCCAGAGAUGAAACAACUAACACUUAUCACUUGUACCAUUCAAACAAUCAAUACACUACAUGGAUCUAACAAAACUUACUCAGGUUUCAUGGAUUGGGAGAACAUAACCAUAGGAUUUCUAUUCCAAAAAGGGGGAGGCAGGAGUAACUAGAGAAACCCUAGGAUCUAUUUGACACAUAAAUGGGUACAGAUGACUAACCAGUUGUCCGUCGUCAUCGGAGUCAUCGCUGGAGUGGUUGUCAGAGUCGCCGCCGGGGUCGUUUCCCGUGUCGUCACCAGGGUAGGUGUGGACCUUCGCCUCCGGUUGUGGAAGCUCGACGCCGUCGACGACGUUAGGGUGCAGUGAUACCUCGCCAGCGGUGACUACAACCUCUGUCUCCAUCUCCAUGUCGUGCUCCGGUACUUCAGCAGCCCCGACGUUGCUGAAGGAAAUAUGCCCUAGAGGCAAUAAUAAAGUUUCUAUUUAUAUUUCCUUAUAUCAUGAUAAAUGUUUAUUAUUCAUGCUAGAAUUGUAUUAACCCGAAACUUAGUACAUGUGUGAAUACAUAGACAAACAGAGUGUCCCUAGUAAGCCUCUACUAGAGAAGCUUGUUAAUCAAACAUGGUUAAGUUUCCUAGCCAUAGACAGUGUUGUCAUUUGAUGAACGGGAUCACAUCAUUAGAGAAUGAUGUGAUGGAUAAGACCAAUCCGUUAGCUUAGCAUUAUGAUCGUUUAGUUUAUUGAUAUUGCUUUCUUCAUGACCUAUACAUGUUCCUAUAACUAUGGGAAUAUGCAACUCCCGAAUACCGGAGGAACACUUAGUGUGCUAUCAAACAUCACAACAUAACUAGGUGAUUAUAAAGAUGCUCUACAGGUGUCUCCGAUGGUGUUUGUUGAGUUGGCAUAGAUCGAGAUUAGGAUUUGUCACUCCGAUUGUCGGAGAGGUAUCAUUGGGCCCUCUCGGUGAUGCACAUCAAUAUAAGCCUUGCAAGAAAUAUGACUAAUGAGUUACUUGCGGGAUGAUGCAUUACGGAACGAGUAAAGAGACUUGCGGGUAACGAGAUUGAACUAGGUAUGUUGAUACCGAUGAUCGAAUCUCGGGCAAGUAACAUACCGAUGACAAAGGAAACAACGUAUGUUGUUAUGUGGUUUGACCGAUAAAGAUCAUCGUAGAAUAUGUACGAACCAAUAUGAGCAUCUAGGUUCCACUAUUGGUUAUUCACCGGAGAUGUGUCUCGGUCAUGUCUGCAUAGUUCUCGAACCCAUAGGGUCCGCACGCUUAACAUUCAAUGACGAUUUCUAUUAUGAGUUUAUGUGAUUUGAUGACAGAAGGUUGUUCGGAGUCCCGGAUGAGAUCACGGACGUGAUGAGGAGUCUCGAAAUGGUUGAGACAUAAAGAUUCAUAUAUUGGAAGGUUAUAUUUGGACACCGGAAUGGUUUGGGUUGUUUUGGAGUAUCGGGGGUUACCGGACCCCCCACCCUAGGAAGUUAUUGGGCCUCAUGGGCCUAAUGGUGGAAGAGAGGAGGCAGGCCAAGGAGGCGCGCGCCCCCCUUUCGCAAACCGAAUUGGACUAGGGCUAAGGGGCCCUCUUCCUUCUCUUCUCCUACUCCUUCCCCCAUUCUCCUUGUGGAAGUAGGAAACGGGGCCUAAUCCUACUUGGAGUAGGACUCACCCCCCUUGGGAGCGCCACCCUUGGCCAGCCUGCUCCCCCCUCCCCCCUUUAUAUACAUGGGAGGGGGCACCCCAUAGACACAAGUUGAUCUUUUACCCGUAUGCGGUGCCCCCCCCUCCAUAGUUUCACACCUCGGUCAUAUCGUCGUAGUGCUUAGGCGAAACCCUUCGCCGGUAACUUCAUCAUUACCGUCACCAUGCCGUUGUGCUGAUGAAACUCUCCCUUGGCCUCAACUGGAUCAAGAGUUCGAGGGACGUCAUCGAGCUGAACGUGUGCAGAUCGCCGAGGUGCCGUGUGUUCGGUACUUGAUCGGUUGGAUCACGAAGACGUUUGACUACAUCAACCGUGUUACUAAACGCUUCCGCUUUCGAUCUACGAGGGUACAUAGACACACUCUCCCCUCUCAUUUCUAUGCAUCUCCUAGAUAGAUCUUGCAUGAUCGUAGGUAAAAAAAUUGAAAUAUUGUGUUCCGCAACAGUGGCAUCGAGCCAAGUCUAUGGGUAGAUGUUAUAUGCACGAGUAAAACACAAAGAGUUGUGGGCGAUAAUAGUCAUGCUGCUUACCAGCAUGUCAUACUUUGAUUCGGUGGUAUUGUUGGAUGAAGCGGCCCAGACCGACAUUACAUGACCGCGUUCAUGAGACUGGUUCUACCGCCGUGCUUCACACACAGGUGGCUAGUGGGUGUCUGUUUCUCCAGCUUUAGUUUAAUCGAGUUUGACUACACCCGGUCCUUGUUGAAGGUUAAAACAGCACAAUUGAUGAAAAUUCAUUGUGGUUUUUGAUGCAUAGGUAAGAACUGUUCUUACAAGAAGCUCGUAGCAGCCACAUAAAACUUGCAACAACAAAGUACAGGACGUCUAACUUGUUUUUGUAGGGCAUGUUGUGAUGUGAUAUGGUCAAGACGUGAUAAUAUAAAUUGUUGUAUGAUAUGAUCAUGUUUUGUAAAAGUUAUCAGCAAUUGGCAGGAGCCAUAUGGUUGUCGCUUUAUUGUAUGAAAUGCAAUCGCCAUGUAAUUGCUUUACUUUAUCACUAAGCGGUAGCGAUAGUCGUAGAAGCAACAGUUGGUGAUACGACAAUGAUGCUACGAUGGAGAUCAAGGUGUCAAGCCGGUGACGAUGGUGAUCAUGAUGGUGCUUUGGAGAUGGAGAUCAAAGGCACAAGAUGAUGAUGGCCAUAUCAUAUCACUUAUAUUGAUUGCAUGUGAUGUUUAUCCUUUAUGCGUCUUAUUUUGCUUAGUACGGCGGUAGCAUUAUAAGAUGAUCUCUCACUAAAUUUCGAGGUAUAAGUGUUCUCCCUGAGUAUGCACCGUUGCUACAGUUCGUCGUGCCGAGAUACCAGGUGAUGAUCGGGUGUGAUAAGCUCUACGUUCACAUACAAGGGGUGCAAGCCAGUUUUGCACAAGCAGUAUACUCAGGUUAAACUUGACGAGCCUAGCAUAUGUAGAUAUGGCCUCGGAAUAGUGAGACAGAAAGAUCAAGUGUGAAUCAUAUAGUAGAUAUGAUCAACAUAGUGAUGUUCACCAUUGAAAACUUCUCCUUCUCACGUGAUGAUCGAACAUGGUUUAGUUGAUAUGGAUCACGUGAUCAUUUAGAUGACUAGAGGGAUGUCUAUCUAAGUGGGAGUUGUUAAGUAAUAUGAUUAAUUGAACUUUAAUUUAUCAUGAACUUAGUACCUGAUAGUAUUUGGCAUGUCUAUGUUGUUGUAGAUAAAUGGCGUGUGCUACUGUUCCUUUGAAUUUUAAUGCAUUCCUAGAGAAAGCUAAGUUGAAAGAUGAUGGUAGAAACUACACGGACUGGGUCCAUAACUUUAGGAUUAUCCUCAUUGCUGCAUAGAAGAAAUACGUCCAGGAAGCACCGCUAGGUGCAAAGCCUGCUACAGGAGCAACUCCAGAUGUUAUGAACGUCUGGCAGAGCAAAGCUGAUGACUACUUGAUAGUUGAGUGUGCCGUGCUUUACGGCUUAGAAUCGAGACUUCAACGACAUUUUGAACGUCAUGGAUCAUAUGAGAUGUUCUAGGAGUUGAAGUUAAUAUUUCAAGCAAAUGCCCGGAUUGAGAGAUAUGAAGUCUCCAAUAAGUUCUAUAGCUACAAGAUGGAGGAGAAUAGUUCUGUCAGUGAACAUAUACUCAGAAUGUCUGGGUACCACAACUACUUGACUCAACUGGGAGUUAAUCUUCCUGAUGAUAGUGCCAUUGACAGAGUUCUUCAAUCACAGCCACCAAGCUACAAAACUUUGUGAUGAACUAUAAUAUGCAAGGGAUGGAUAAGACAAUUCCCGAGCUCUUCGCAAUGCUAAAGGCUGCGGAGGUAGAAAUCAAGAAGGAGCAUCAAGUGUUGAUGGUCAACAAGACCACUAGUUUCAAGAAGAAGGGCAAAGGGAAGAAGGGGAACUUCAAGAAGAAUGGCAAGCAAGUUGCUGCUCAAGUGAAGAAGCCCAAGUCUGGACCUAAACCUGAGACUGAGUGCUUCUACUGCAAAGGGACGGGUCACUAGAAGCAGAACUGCCCCAAGUAUUUGGCGUUUAAGAAGGAUGGCAAAGUGAAAGGUAUAUUUGAUAUACAUGUUAUUGAUGUGUACCUUACUAAUGCUCGCAGUAGCGCCUGGGUAUUUGAAACUGGUUCUGUUGCUCAUAUUUGCAACUCGAAAUAGGGGCUACGGAUUAAGCGAAGAUUGGCUAAGGACGAGGUGACGAUGCGCGUGGGAAAUGGUUCCAAAGUCGAUGUGAUCGUGGUCUGCACGCUACCUCUACAUCAACCUUCGGGAUUAGUCUUAGACCUGACUAACUGUUAUUUGGUGCAAGCAUUAAAGCAUGAACACUAUAUCUAGAUCUUGUUUGAUGCGAGACAGUUAUUCAUUUAAAUUAGAGAAUAAUGGUUGUUCUAUUUAUAUGAGUAAUAUCUUUUAUGGUCAUGCACCCUUGAUGAGUGGUCUAUUUUUAUUGAAUCUUGAUAGCAGUGACACACAUAUUCAUAGUACUGAAGCCAAAAGAUAUAAGUUUAACAAUGAUAGUGCAACUUAUUUGUGGCACCGUCGUAUAGGUUUGGAAUCACUUGAUUAUGAAUCACUUGAUGCUUGGGAACCACGCCUCAUGGGCAAAAUGACUAAGACUUCAUUCUCUGGAACAAUGGAGCGAGCAACAAAUUUAUUGGAAGUAAUACAUACUGAUGUAUGCGGUCUGAUGAGUGUUGAUGCUCGCGGCGGGUAUCAUUAUUUUCUGACCUUCACAGAUGAUUUGAGCAGAUAUGGGUAAAUCUACUUUGUGAAACAUAAGUCUGAAACAUUUGAAAAGUUCAAAGAAUUUCAGAGUGAAGUGGAAAAUCAUCAUAACAAGAAAAUUAAGUUUCUACGAUCUGAUUGUGGAGGUGAAUAUUUGAGUUAUGAGUUUGGUCUUCAUUUGAAAUAAUGUGGAAUAGUUUCGCAACUCAUGCCACGUGGAACACCACAGCGUAAUGGUGUGUCCGAACGUCGUAACCGCACUUUAUUAGAUAUGGUGCGAUCUAUGAUGUCUCUUACUGAUUUACCGCUAUCGUUUUGGGGUUAUGCUUUAGAGAUGGUUGCAUUCACGUUAAAUAGGGCACCAUUGAAAUGCGUUGAGACGACACCAUAUGAACUAUGGUUUGUCAAGAAACCCAAGUUGUCGUUUCCUAAAGUUUGGGGCUGCGAUGCUUAUGUGAAAGAGCUUCAAUCCGAUAAGCUCGAACCCAAAUCGGAGAAAUGUGUCUUCAUAGGAUACCCAAAGGAGACUGUUGGCUACACCUUCUAUCACAGAUCUGAAGGCAAGAUAUUCGUUGCUAAGAAUGGAUCCUUUAUAGAGAAGGAGUUUCCCUCGAAUGAAGUGAGUGGGAGGAAAGUAGAACUUGAUGAGGUAAAUGUACCUUCUCCCUUAUUGGAAAGUAGUUCAUCACAAAAAUUAGUUCCAGUGAUUCCUACACCAAUUAGUGAGGAAGCUAAUGAUGAUGAUCAUGAAGCUUCUGAUAAAGUUACUACCGAACCUCGUAGGUAAACCAGAGUAAGAUCCGCACCAGAGUGGUACGGUAAUCCUGUUCUAGAGGUCAUGUUACUUGACCAUGACGAACCUACGAACUAUGAGGAAGCGAUGCUGAGCCCAGAUUCCGAAAAAUGGCUUGAGGACAUGAAAUUUGAGAUGGGAUCCAUGUAUGAGAACAAAGUGUGGACUUUGGUUAACUAGCCCGUUGAUCAGCAAGCCAUAAAGAAUAAAUGGAUUUUCAGGAAGAAGAUUGACACUGACGGUAAUAUUACUGUCUACAAAGCUCGACUUAUUGCGAAAGGUUUUUGACAAGUUCAAGGAGUUGACUACGAUAAGACAUUCUCAACCAUAGCGAUUCUUAAGUCUGUCCGAAUCAUGUUAGCAAUUGCCGCAUUUUAUGAUUAUGAAAUUUCGCAAAUGGAUGUCAAAACUGCAUUCCUUAAUGGAUAUCUCAAAUAAGAGUUGUAUAUGAUGCAACCAGAAGGUUUUGUCAAUCCUAAAGGUGCUAACAAAGUGUGCAAGCUCCAGUGAUCCAUUUAUGGACUGGUGCAAGCCCCUCGGAGUUGGAAUAUGCGCUUUGAUAGUGUGAUCAAAGCAUAUGGUUUUAUACAGACUUUUGGAGAAGCUUGUAUUUACAAGAAAGUGAGUGGGAGCUCCAUAGCAUUUCUGAUAUUAUAUGUGGAUGACAUAUUAUUGAUUGGAAAUGAUACUGAAUUUCUGAAUAGCACAAAAGGAUACUUGAAUAAGAAUUUUUCAAUGAAAGGCCUCGGUGAAGCUGCUUAUAUAUUGGGCAUCAAGAUCUAUAGAGAUAGAUCAAGACACUUAAUUGGACUUUCACAAAGCACAUACCUUGACAAAGUUUUGAAAAAGUUCAAAGUGGAUCAGUCAAAGAAAGGGUUCUUGCCUAUGUUACAAGGUGUUAAGUUGAAUCAGACUCAAUGCCCAACCACUGUAGAAGAUAGAGAGAAAAUGAAAGUCAUUCCCUAUGCCUCAGCCAUAGGUACUAUCAUGUAUGCAAUGUUGUGUACCAGACCUGAUGUGUGCCUUGCUAUUAGUUUAGCAGGGAGUAACGAAAGUAAUCCAGGAGUGGAUCACUGGACAGCGGUCAAGAACAUCCUGAAAUACCUGAAAAGGACUAAGGAUAUGUUUCUCAUUUAUGGAGGUGACAAAGAGCUCAUCGUAAACGGUUACAUCGAUGCAAGCUUUGACACUGAUCUGGAUGACUCUAAGUCACAAACCGGAUACAUAUUUUUAUUGAAUGGUCGAGCUGUCAGUUGGUGCAAAUCUAAACAGAGCGUCGUGGCGGGAUCUACGUGUGAAGCGGAAUACAUAGCUGCUUCGGAAGCAGCAAAUGAAGGAGUCUGGAUAAAGGAUUUCAUAUCUGAUCUGGGUCUAAUACCUAGUGCAUCGGAUCCAAUGAAAAUCUUUUGUGACAAUACUGGUGAAAUUGCCUUGGCAAAGGAAUCCAGAUUUCACAAGAGGACAAAGCACAUCAAGAGACACUUCAAUUCCAUGUGUGAUCAAGUCAAGGAGGGAGACAUAGAGAUUUGCAAGAUACAUACGGAUCUGAAUGUUGCAGACCCGUUGACUAAACCUCUCUCAUGAGCAAAACAUGAUCAGCACCAAGACUCCAUGGGUGUUAGAAUCAUUACUAUGUAAUCUAGAUUAUUGACUCUAGUGCAAGUGGGAGACUGAAGGAAAUAUGCCCUAGAGGCAAUAAUAAAGUUGUUAUUUAUAUUUCCUUAUAUCAUGAUAAAUGUUUAUUAUUCAUGCUAGAAUUGUAUUAACCAGAAACUUAGUACAUGUGUGGAUACAUAGACAAACAAAGUGUCCCUAGUAAGCCUCUACUGGACUAGCUCGUUAAUCAAAGAUGGUUAAGUUUCCUAGCCAUAUACAUGUGUUGUCAUUUGAUGAACGGGAUCACAUCAUUAGAGAAUGAUGUGAUGGACAAGACCCAUCUGUUAGCUUAGCACUAUGAUCAUUUAGUUUAUUGCUAUUGCUUUCUUCAUGACUUAUACAUGUUCCUAUAACUAUGUGAUUAUGCAACUCCCGAAUACCGAAGGAACACUUAGUGUGCUAUCAAACAUCACAACGUAACUGGGUGAUUAUAAAGAUGCUCUACAAGUGUCUCCGAUGGUGUUUGUUGAGUUGCCAUAGAUCGAGAUUAGGAUUUGUCACUCCGAUUGUCGGAGAGGUAUCUCUGGGCCCUCUCGGUAAUGCACAUCAAGCCUUGCAAGCAAUAUGACUAAUGAUUUAGUUGCGGAAUGAUGCAUUACGGAACGAGUAAAGAGACUUUCCGGUAACGAGAUUGAACUAGGUAUGAUGAUACCGACGAUCGAAUCUCGGGCAAGUAACAUACCGAUGACAAAGGAAACAACGUAUGUUGUUAUGUGGUUUGACCGGUAAAGAUCUUCGUGGAAUAUGUAGGAACCAAUAUGAGCAUCCAGGUUCCACUAUUGGUUAUUGACCGGAGGUGUGUCUCGGUCAUGUCUACAUAGUUCUCGAACCCAUAGGGUCCGCACGCUUAACGUUCGAUGACGAUUUGUAUUAUGAGUUUAUGUGAUGUAAUGACCGUAGGUUGUUCGGAGUCCCGAAUGAGAUCAGGGACGUGACGAGGAGUCUCGAAAUGGUCGAGACAUAAAGAUUCAUAUAUUGGAAGGUCACAUUUGGACACCGGAAUAGUUCGGGUNNNNNNNNNNNNNNNNNNNNNNNNNNNNNNNNNNNNNNNNNNNNNNNNNNNNNNNNNNNNNNNNNNNNNNNNNNNNNNNNNNNNNNNNNNNNNNNNNNNNNNNNNNNNNNNNNNNNNNNNNNNNNNNNNNNNNNNNNNNNNNNNNNNNNNNNNNNNNNNNNNNNNNNNNNNNNNNNNNNNNNNNNNNNNNNNNNNNNNNNNNNNNNNNNNNNNNNNNNNNNNNNNNNNNNNNNNNNNNNNNNNNNNNNGGGCUUAAUGGUGGAAGAGAGGAGGCAGGCCAAGGAGUGGUGCGCGCCCCCCUAGCCCAAACCGAAUUGGACUAGGGCUAAGGGGGUCGACCCCCCCUUUCCUUCUCUUCUCCUACUCCUUCCCCCCUUCUCCUUGUGGAAGUAGGAAACGGGGGGGCGAAUCCUACUUGGAGUAGGACUCCCCCCCUUGGGAGCGCCACCCUUGGCCGGCCUCCUCCUUCCUCUCCCAUUUAUAUAUGUUGGAGGGGGGCACCCCAUAGACACAAGUUGAUCUUUUAACCAUGUGCAAUGCCCCCUCCAUAGUUUCACACCUCGGUCAUAUCGUCGUAGUGCUUAGGCGAAGCCCUACACCGGUAACUUCAUCAUCACCGUCACCACACCGUCGUGCUGACAAAACUCUCCCUCUGCCUCAACUAGAUCAAGAGUUCGAGGGACAUCACUGAGCUGAACGUAUGCAGAUCGUGGAGGUGUCGUGCGUUCGGUACUUGAUCAGUUGGAUCUCGAAGACGUCCGACUACAUUAACUGUGUUACUAAACUCUUCCGCUUUCGGUCUAUUAGGGUACAUAGACACACUAUCCCCUCUCGUUGCUAUGCCUCUCCUAGAUAGAUCUUGUGUGAUUGUAGGUAAAUUUUUUGAAAUACUGCGUUCCCCAACAGUCGCCACUUCCUCCGAUGGGGCACUUCGGCGGCAUCCUCAUACACUGACAACUUUGAGUACUGAGAGUGGCGUCGAGGAUGCAAGUGGAGAGAGGGGAUUGUGUGUGUGUGUGGAGAGGAUGGGGGGUGCGUCCUCUCGGGCAUGCCAUUAAUAUGGAGUAGUGGGAGAGAGGCGGGCAUUGGUUAGACCGCUGGCUCACCUCCCAGUGAGCCUGCGCACCAGACUGCUAGCAUGCCUACCGUCGUUUCACAUAGCUACUCGCACGCCUCCCGAUGAUACAGAGCAGCGAGCACGCCUCAUGUUAAUUCACACACCUGCACGCACACCUCCCGGUCUGCGUGCACGGCGGACUGCUCACAUGCGUCCCGUCAACUCACGCCUGCUCGCACGGCACAGGGUCGCGUGGUGGCACGUAUAUUGUUUUUCUAUUUGGAUGGUUAAUGAUGCCACUUUAUUGCUUAACCGAAGCUUGGCACAUAUCCAUUGUUGGUCUAACACUCAUGGUUCGAAUAAAUAAUCCGUUUGGGAUAUUCGUUCCCAAUUAUUAAUAAUCUGUCGUUUGUAAGAAGAUAAAGAUUACAUCAAAAUUGGUCUCAAAUUUGACCCAAAAAAGUACAAUGUCACUUUGUAUUGGUGUCCAUAUGACAACACGAUAAGUUUCAUGAAUUUCAAAUAAGUUUUGGAUGUACUAGAAUUUAAAAAUCAAGAUUCUCACUGUUUGAAAUUUCUUGCAUGGGGAGUAAACAUGCACCUAGUGAGACACAUAUGUUUUUGCAAUCCAUUUAGGUGCACUGUCACGUGUGCAUGUAGCUCAAAUUUGAUUUUUGCACAUUAUACCCCUAGAAAAUCGAUCAAUGUACUAAAACGUCUUAAUGAUCUCUGAUUUUUUUCAAAAUUAAAAGGUCCCUCCUUUGGUAACAUAUGUUCACCGCGGGAUAAUUUAACAUGCAUCGUAGUUGUGGUGGAUUCGCGGUGUGUGUGUGUGUGCGCGCGCGCGUGCGCACGCGCAUCUGGGGGUGGCGGGUGGCAUGCAGUACACUACGAGUCCUGAGCCACCGUGUGGGUUGGCCGUUUUGUGGGGCAGGUGCCAUAUCAGAGUCAUGAAUUUGUUGUUUAAAACAUUACACGACCCUUUCGUACAUACAUGUUUUGGCCACAUGCAGUCGAUGGUUGUUCUACACGACACACAAUACUCGCAUGUGACACUUUCUAUGGGCCCGCGAGGUCGUCGUCCGUCACUUUGACGAACAGUCGGCAGAGAGGUUAAUUUGACCAGCAAGGUAGAAUCUUUUUUGUUUGUGUUAUGGUCGGAGUAUAUAGUAUGUGUCGAAGAGGUGGGAAGGGACUAGCAUAUAUAAUAUAUGUACGCAUCCGUGAACAAGUACACCUCACUCAAUGUUGGGACUUUUCGUUUUCCAAGGCACGUGCCACAUAAAAGUUGUGAAAUUGUCUAUUCAAACAUCACACAACACCUCUUUGGGCCACAUGCAUGGAGGCGGUGGUUAUCCUAGGACACUCACGUGUGAUGCUUUGAUGACCCACAAGUAUAGGGGAUCGCAACAGCUUUCGAGGGUAGACUAUUCAACCCAAAUUUAUUGAUUCGACACAAGGGGAGCCAAAGAAUAUUCUCCGGUAUUAGCAGCUGAGUUGUCAAUUCAACCACACCUGGAAACUUAGUAUAUGCAGCAAAGUGUUUAGUAGCACAAUAAUAUGAUAGUGGUGGUAACGGUAAAAAAAGAGUAAUGCAAGCAAAAGUAAAUAUUUUUGGUAUUUUGUAGUGAUUGUAACAGUAACAGCGGGAAAGUAAAUAAGCGUAAACCAGUAUAUGGAAAACUCGUAGGCACCGGAUCAGUGAUGGAUAAUUAUGCCAGAUGUGGUUCAUCAUGUAACAAUCGUAACAUAGGGUGACACAGAACUAGCUCCAAUUCAUCAAUGUAAUGUAGGCAUGUAUUCCUUAUAUAGUCAUACGUGCUUAUGGAAAAGAACUUGCAUGACAUCUUUUGUCCUACCCUCCCGUGCAACGGGGUCCUAUUGGAAACUAAGGGAUAUUAAGGCCUCCUUUUAAUAGAGAACCGGAACAAAGCAUUAGCACAUAGUGAAUACAUGAACUCCUCAAACUAAGGUCAUCACCAGGAGUGGUCCCGAUUAUUGUCACUUCGGGGUUGCCGGAUCAUAACACAUAGUAGGUGACUAUAGACUUGCAAGAUAGGAUCAAGAACUCACAUAUAUUCAUAAAAACAUAAUAGGUUGAGAUCUGAAAUCAUGGCACUCGGGCCCUAGUGACAAGCAUUAAGCAUAGCAAAGUCAUAGCAACAUCAAUCUCAGAACAUAAUGGAUACUAGGGAUCAAACCCUAACAAAACUAACUCGAUUACAUGAUAAAUCUCAUCCAACACAUCACCGUCCAGCAAGCCUACGAUGGAAUUACUUACACACGGCGGUGAGCAUCAUGAAAUUGGUGAUGGAGGAUGGUUGAUCAUGACGACAGCGACGAAUCCCCCUCUCCGGAGCCCCGAACGGACUCCAGAUCAGCCCUCCCGGGAGGUUUUAGGGCUUGGCGGCGGCUCCAUAUCGUAAAACGCAAUGAUUUCUUCUCCCUGAUUUUUUCUCUCCGAAAGCAAGUAUAUAGAGUUGGAGUUGGCGUUGGAGGGAAUCCAAGGGGCCCAUGAGGUAGGGGGCGCGCCCUAGGGGGGCACGCCCCCACCCUCGUGAGAAGGGUGUGGGCCCCCUGGUCUUCAUCUUUGGCGAGGAUUUUUUUAUUAUUUAUUGUAAGGUGUUCCGUGGAGUUUCAGGUCAUUCCGAGAAUAUUUGUUUUCUGCACAUAAAACAACAUCAUGGCAAUUCUGCUGAAAACAGCGUCAGUCCGGGUUAGUUCCAUUCAAAUCAUACAAGUUAGAGUCCAAAACAAGGGCAAAAAUGUUUGGAAAAGUAGAUACGACGGAGACGUAUCANNNNNNNNNNNNNNNNNNNNNNNNNNNNNNNNNNNNNNNNNNNNNNNNNNNNNNNNNNNNNNNNNNNNNNNNNNNNNNNNNNNNNNNNNNNNNNNNNNNNNNNNNNNNNNNNNNNNNNNNNNNNNNNNNNNNNNNNNNNNNNNNNNNNNNNNNNNNNNNNNNNNNNNNNNNNNNNNNNNNNNNNNNNNNNNNNNNNNNNNNNNNNNNNNNNNNNNNNNNNNNNNNNNNNNNNNNNNNNNNNNNNNNNNNNNNNNNNNNNNNNNNNNNNNNNNNNNNNNNNNNNNNNNNNNNNNNNNNNNNNNNNNNNNNNNNNNNNNNNNNNNNNNNNNNNNNNNNNNNNNNNNNNNNNNNNGACAAACUGAAAGAAAGAAAGAAAAACUUUUACAAACUCUGUUUGCUCUUGUUGUUGUAACUAUGUCAAGCCAGCAUUCACGUUUUCAGCAUAGAUCAUAAGUAACCACAUUUGAAAUAAUUCUCAGGUCUCAUAAUUACUCAUAUCAAUAGCAUAAUCAACUAGCAAGUCAUAAUAAUAAAUCUCGGAUGACAACACUUUCUCAAAACAAUCAUAAUAUGAUAUAACAAGAUGGUAUCUCGCUAGCCCUUUCUGAGACCACAAAACAUAAAUGCAGAGCACCUUUAAAGAUCAAGGACUGACUAGACAUUAUAAUUCAUGGUAAAAGAGAUCCAAUCAUAGUCACACCCAACAUAAAUUAAUAGUGAUGAAUUCAAAUGACAGUUGUGCUCUCCAACUAGUGCUUUUUAAUAAGAGGGUGAUGACUCAACAUAAAAGUAAAUGGAUAGGCCCUUCGCAGAGGGAAGCAGGGAUUUGUAGAGGUGCCAGAGCUCGGUUUUGAAAUAGAGAUAAAUUGCAUUUUGAGUGGUAUACUUUCAUUGUCAACGUAGCAACUAAGAGAUGGCGAUAUCUUCCAUGCUGAACACAUUAUAGGCGGUUCCCAAACAGAAUGGUAAAGUUUAUACUCCCCCUCCACCAACAAACAUCAAUCCAUGGCUUGCUUGAAACAACGAGUGCCUCCAACAUACAUCAGGUCCCAGGGGGAGUUUUGUUUGAAAUUAAUUUUGAUUUAGUUUGCAUAAAGCAUGGGACUGGGCAUCUCGGUGACCAACCAUUUUCUCGUGAGUGAGGAGCGGAGUCCACUCCUCUUGAGAAUAACCCGCCUAACACGGAAGAUAAGGACAGCCUUGGUUGAUACAUGAGAUAUUCGAGCAUACAAAACAAAAUGUUUAUUUGAAGGUUUAGAGUUUGGCACAUACAAAUUUACUUGGAACGGCAGGUAGAUACCGCAUAUAGGAAGGUAUAGUGGACUUAUCUAGAAUAACUUUGGGGUUUAAGGGAUUGGAUGCACAAGCAGUAUUCCCUCUUAGUACAGGUGAAGGCUAGCAAAGGACUGGGAAGCGACCAACUAGAGAGCGACAACAGCCAUGUACAUGCAUUAAAAUUAAUAAACAUUGGAUGCAAGCAUGAGUAGGAUAUAAUCCACCACGAACAUAAAUAUCGUGAAGGCUAUGUUGAUUUGUUUCAACUACAUGCAUGAACAUGUGCCAUGUCAAGUCACUUAAAUCAUUCAAAGGAGGAUACCACCCCAUCAUACCACAUCAUAACCAUCUCAAUAGCAUGUUGGCACACAAGGUAAAUCAUUAUAACUCAUAGCUAAUCAAGCAUGGCACAAGCAACUAUGAUCUCUAAUUGUCAUUGCAAACAUGUUUAUUCAUAAUAAGCUGAAUCAACGAGGGACUAAUCAUAUUUACAAAAACAAGAGAGGUCGAGUUCAUACCAGCUUUUCUCAUCUCAGUCAGCCCAUCAUAUAUCAUCGUAAUUGCCUUUCACUUGCACGACCGAACGGUGUGAAUAAUAAUAAGGGUGCACGUGCAUUGGACUAAGAUGGAAUCUGCGAGCAUUCAAUAAACAGGAGAAGACAAGGCAAUAUGGGCUCUUGGUUAAAACAAUAAUAAUGCAUAUAAGAGCCACUUCAACAAUUUAAUUAUGGUCUUCUCCUACUGACCCCCAAAGAAAGGAAAAGAAAUAAAACUAUUUACACGGGAAAGCUCCCAACAAGCAAAAGAAGAACGGGAAAUAUUUUUGGGUUUUCUUUUUAAUUAUUACUACUAUAGCAGAAAAAUAAACUACUACUAAUUUUUUUUGUUUUUCUUAAGGUUUAACAAACACACAAGAAGAAAGUAGGAAAAAUAAAAUAAACUAGCAUGGAUAUUACAGUGAAAAAGUAUGAGCACCGAAAUCUAGCAAUGAGUGUGUGUGAACAUAAAUGUAAUGUCGGUGAGAAAUACGUACUCCCCCAAGCUUAGGCUUUUGGCCUAAGUUGGUCUAUGGCCACGGCUGGCCUGGCUGAUAUCCAUAAUAAUAGUUGUUGGGGUCGUACUGCGACGAAGAAUAGUUGGGAUCAUACUGAUGUGCAGCGGUUAUCGCCUGCUGAGCUACAGCGUGGAGGCGAGCUGCCUCCCCUCUCCUCUCGUACUCUUCUGCCUCCUCUCUGGUAAUAACAUAUCUUCUUUUUGUAUGAAUGAAGGAGAAUUACGCGAAGAUGAAUACUCAAACCUCCUCACAAAUGAACUUGUGAGAUCAUUAUACUGGGGGCAUUUGUUAGCCUCAAAAUCCUCAAGACCGGCAUUGCGCAAAUAUGCUUUGAAUUCUUCUUUAAUUCCUGCACGGUCCAUAAAAUUUUCCGAUGGCCAUUCGCAAGGCCGUACUAGAGCGUCUCUUGGUGGAUCCUCGUCAGCAUCGCGCAUAGCAAUCCUGGGUCCUUGCUUCUUAGAGGAACCACCUUGGAACAUCUUCCUAAGCAUAUUGUUUUUCUCUGAAAAAUUCUGAAAUUUUUAUUAACUUCAAACAAAAGUGAACCAACUUCAAUAAAACUGAUAGCAACUACUCCUACAAGUGCCUAGAGCCAAUAUCAAGCAUUAGAACUACUUAGAACCAUAUAAAUUUGACAUGCAAGCUCAAGAACAUGGUCACCUAUGCAGCACAAAUUUGCAAAGAAUAAAGCACUAGAACAAAAACUAAUUGGACCAAUGGAGGAGUCACAUACCAAGGAACAAUCUCCCCAAGCAAUUUUGCGAGAGGUGCUUUGAGCAAGGAGAUCGAAAAUCACAGCAAAAGUGGCUAGAACUCGUGCUUGAGUUGGUUUUUCGGGUUUGUGUGAGACAAAGGAACAAGAUGGGUGCUGGGAUAAGUGGAGGAGGGCCACCGUGGGCCCGCGAGGCAGGGGGCGCGCCCUAGAGGGGGGCGCACCCACCACCCUCGUGCCCAGGUGGCAGCUCCUCCCGCGGUGAUUUUUGCACAGUAAAUCCUCAAAUAUUCCCGAAAAAAUCAUAUUAAAUUGGCAUGUCAUUCUGAGGACUUUUAUUUUCGAGAUAUUUUUAUAUUGCACGGAUAAGCCAGCAAAUAGACAGAAAAAUACUAUUUUUACUUUAUUUAUACUAAAUAACAGAAAAUAUAGAGAGGGUACAGAAGUUUGUGCUUCUAGUUUCAUCCAUCUCAUGCUCAUCAAAAAGAAUCCACUAACAAGGUUGAUCAAGUCUUGUUAACAAACUCAUUCCGAUAAUCAUGAAACCAGAGAAAUUUUGAAUAACACUAAGUUACCUCAACGGGGAUAUGCACAUCCCCUAUAAUAAGUAUAUCAUAUUUCUUCUUGACAGUAGGAAGAGGAAAUUCAAAACCUCCAAUUAUAAUCAAUGGAAUUUUUCCAAUGGAGUUGAUACUAUGAACUUGAGGUUGUUUCCUCGGAAAGUGUACCGUAUGCUCAUUACCAUUAACAUGAAAAGUGACAUUGCCUUUGUUGCAAUCAAUAACAGCCCCUGCAGUAUUAAGAAAAGGUCUUCCAAGAAUAAUAGACAUACUAUCAUCCUCGGGAAUAUCAAGAAUAACAAAGUCCGUUAAAAUAGUAAUGUUUGCAACCACAACAGGCACAUCCUCACAAAUACCGACAGGUAUAGCAGUUGAUUUAUCAGCCAUUUGCAAAGAUAUUUCGGUAGGUGUCAGCUUAUUCAAGUCAAGUCUACGAUAUAAAGAGAGAGGCAUAACACUAACACCGGCUCCAAGAUCACAUAAAGCAGUUUUAAUAUAAUUUCUUUUAAUGGAGCAAGGUAUAGUAGGUACUCCGGGAUCUCCAAGUUUCUUUGGUAUUCCACCCUUAAAAGUAUAAUUAGCAAGCAUGGUGGAAAUCUUAGCUUCCGGUAUCUUUCUUUUAUUAGUAAUGAUAUCCUUCAUAUAGUUAGCAUAAGGAUUUGUUUUGAGCACAUCAGUUAAUCUCAUACGCAAAAAGAUAGGACUAAUCAUUUCAGCAAAGCGCUCAAAAUCCUCAUCAUCCUUUUUCUUGGAUGGUUUUGGAGGAAAAGGCAUGGGUUUCUGAACCCAAGGCUCUCUUUCUUUACCAUGUUUCCUAGCAACAAAAUCUUUCUUAUCAUAACGUUGAUUCUUUGAUUGUGGGUUAUCAAGAUCAACAGCAUGUUCAAUUUCUACAUCAUUGUCAUUACUAGGUUGAGCAUCAUCAUGAACAUCAUCAUUAAUAUUUUCAUUAGGUUCGUGUUCAUUACCAGAUUGUGUUUCAGCAUCAGACAUAGAGAUAUCAUUUGGAUUAUCAGGUGGUUCAGCAAUAGGUUCACUAGAAGUUUGCACAGUUCUAUCAUUUUUCUUUUUUCUUCUUUUUAGAAGAACUAGGAACAUCAAUAUUAUUUCUCUGAGAAUCUUGCUCGAUUCUCUUAGGGUGGCCUUCAGGAUACAAUGGUUCUUGAGUCAUUCUACCAGUUCUAGUAGCCACUCUAACAGCAUAAUCAUUUUUCUUACUAUUCAUUUCAUCAAGCACUUCUUUUUGAGCUUUAAGCACUUGUUCUACUUGCGUGGUAACCAUAGAAGCAUGUUUGCUAACAAGUUUAAGUUCACCUUUAAUAUUAGCCAUAUAAUCACCCAAGCAUCUAAUCAUAUAAGCAUUUUUCUUUUAAUUGUCUACCAAAAUAAGCAUUGAAGUCGUCUUGCUUAAACAUAAAGUUAUAAAACUCAUCCAAGCACUGACUAGCAAUUUUAGUAGGAGGAACUUCAGCUUUAUCAUGUCUAUAGAGAAAAUUUACCUUUACUACCUGUGUCGGGAUAUCGGGGUCGGGAGGUUCUUCAAUAAAUAAAGAAUUGAGAUCAUAUGUUUCUUCAACAGGCGGUAUAUUAAGACCAUGUAUUUCUUCAAUAGGAGGUAAAUUCUUAACGUCUUCAACUUUAAUGCCUUUCUCUUUCAUAGAUUUCUUUGCCUCUUGCAUAUCUUUGGGACUGAGAAAUAGAACACCUCUCUUCAUCGGAGUUGGUUUAGGAAUAGGCUCAGUAAUUGGAGCAGGAGCUGGCUCAGGAGGUGCCCAAUUAUUUUUAUUUGUCAACAUAUUAUUCAAUAGAAUUUCAGCUUCAUCUGGUGUUCUUUCCCUGAAAAGAGAACCAGCACAACUAUCCAGGUAAUCUCUGGAAGCAUUGGUUAAUCCAUUAUAAAAGAUAUCAAGUAUUUCGGGUUUCUUAAGAGGAUGAUCAGGCAAAGCAUUAAGUAACUUGAGAAGCCUCCCCCAAGCUUGUGGGAGACUCUCUUCUUUAAUUUGCACAAAGUUGUAUAUUUCCCUCAAAACAGCUUGUUUCUUAUGAGCAGGGAAAUAUUUAGUAGAGAAGUAAUAAAUCAUAUCCUGGGGACUACGCACACAGCCAGGAUCAAGAGAAUUAAACCAUAUCUUAGCAUCACCCUUUAAUGAGAACAGAAAUAUUUUGAGUAUAUAGAGGUAACGUGAUCUCUCAUCAUUAGUGAACAGGGCAGCUAUAUCAUUUAACUUAGUAAGAUGUGCCACAACAGUUUCAGAUUCAUAGCCAUAAAAUGGAUCAGAUUCAACCAAAGUAAUUAUAUCAAGAUCAACGGAGAAUUCAUAAUCCUUAUCAGGAACACAAAUAGGUGAAGUAGCAAAAGCAGGGUCGGGUUUCAUUUUAUCUCUAAGUGAUUCUUUGUUCCAUUUAAUUAAUAACCUCUUAAGCUCAUAUCUAUCUUUGCAAGCUAAAAUAGCGGCAGAAGAUUCCAUAUCAAAAAGAUAACCCUUAGGGAUAACAGGCAUAUUUUCAUCAUCACUAUCAUCAUCGUAUUCAGAUUCAAUAAUUUCUUUUUCUCUAGCCCUAGCAAUUUUUUCAUCAAGAAAUUAACCAAGGGGCACAGUAGUAUCAGACAUAGAAGCAGUUUCAUCAUAAGUAUCAUGCAUAGAAGAGGUGGCAUCAUCAAUAACAUGCGACAUAUCAGAACGAAUAGCAGAAGCGGGUGUAGGUGUCGCAAGCUUACUCAUAACAGAAGGUGAAUCAAGUGCAGAGCUACAUGGUAGUUCCUUACCUCCCCUCGUAGUUGAUGGAUAGAUCUUGGAUUUUGGAUCUCUCAAUUUCUUCAUAAUGAUAAGAAGAUAUAAAUCCCAAGUGACUCAAAGAAUAGAGCUAUGCUCCCCGGCAACGGCGCCAGAAAUUAGUCUUGAUGACCCACAAGUAUAGGGGAUCGCAAAAGCUUUCGAGGGUAGAGUAUUCAACCCAAAUUUAUUGAUUCGACACAAGGGGAGCCAAAGAAUAUUCUCAAGUAUUAGCAGCUGAGUUGUCAAUUCAACCACGCCUGGAAACUUAGUAUCUGCAGCAAAGUGUUUAGUAGCACAAUAAUAUGAUACUGGUGGUAACGGUAACAAAAGAGUAAUGCAAGCAAAAGUAAAUAUUUUUGGUAUUUUGUAGUGAUUGUAACAGUAACAGCGGGAAAGUAAAUAAGCGUAAACUAGUAUAUGGAAAACUCGUAGGCACGGGAUCAGUGAUGGAUAAUUAUGCCGGAUGCAGUUCAUCAUGUAACAGUCAUAACAUAGGGUGACACAGAACUAGCUCCAAUUCAUCAAUGUAAUGUAGGCAUGUAUUCCGUAUAUAGUCAUACGUGCUUAUGGAAAAGAACUUGCAUGACAUCUUUUGUCCUACCCUCCCGUGCAACGGGGUCCUAUUGGAAACUAAGGGAUAUUAAGGCCUCCUUUUAAUAGAGAACCGGAACAAAGCAUUAGCACAUAGUGAAUACAUGAACUCCUCAAACUACGGUCAUCACCGGUAAGUAUCCCGAUUAUUGUCACUUCGGGGUUAACGGAUCAUAACACAUAAUAGGUGACAAUAGACUUGCAAGAUAGGAUCAAGAACUCUCAUAUAUUAAUGAAAACAUAAUAGGUUCAGAUCUGAAAUCAUGCCACUCGGGCCCUAGUGACAAGCAUUAAGCACAGCAAAGUCAUAGCAACAUCAAUCUCAGAACAUAGUGGACACUAGGGAUCAAACCCUAACAAAACUAACUCGAUUACAUGAUAGAUCCCAUCCAACCCAUCACCGUGCAGCAAGCCUACGAUGGAAUUACUCACGCAUAGCGGUGAGCAUCAUGAAAUUGGUGAUGGAGGAUGGUUGAUGAUGAUGAUGGCGGCAGAUUCCCCUCUCCGGAGCCCCGAACGCACUCCAGAUCAGCCCUCCCGAGAGGUUUUAGGGCUUGGCGGUGGCUCCAUAUCGUAAAACGCAAUGAAUUUUUCUCUCUGAUUUUUUCUCCCCGAAACACAAUAUAUAGAGUUGGAGUUGGAGUCGGAGGAGCUCCAGGGGGCCCACGAGGUAGGGGGCGCGCCCUAGGGGGGCAGGCGCGCCCCCCACCCUCAUGGAUAGGUGGUGGGCCCCCUGGCCUUCAUCUUUUGCAGGUAUUUUUUAUAUUUUCCAAAAAGUUGCUUCGUGAAAUUUCAGGUCAUUCCGAGAAUGUUUGUUUCUGCACAUAAAUAACACCAUGGUAAUUCUGCUGAAAACAGCGUCAGUCGGGGUUAGUUCCAUUCAAAUCAUGCCAGUUAGAGUCCAAAACAAGGGCAAAAGUGUUUGGAAAAGUAGAUACGACGGAGACGUAUCAAGGUGCUAGAAUUGCAAGACCUGAUGCUAAAAAUAAACACAGACCUGUUGUAGGCAUGCCUGUUAUUUCUGUUAAAAUAGGAGAUCAUUGUUAUCAUGGCUUAUGUGAUAUGGGUUCUAGUGCCAGUGCAAUACCUAUUUCCUUAUACAAAGAAAUUAUGCAUGAUAUUGCACCAGCUAAGAUAGAAGAUAUCGAUGUUACCAUUAAGCUUGCGAAUAGAGAUACUAUUUCACCAGUUGGGAUUGUUAGAGAUGUUGAAGUCUUGUGUGGGAAGAUUAAAUAUCCUGCUAAUUUCCUUGUUCUUGGUUCCCCACAAGAUAACUUUUGUCCCAUUAUAUUUGGUAGACCCUUUGAAUACUGUCAAUGCUAAGAUACACUGCAAUAAGGAUAUUGUUUCUGUUGGUUUAGGGGAUAUGUCUCAUGAGUUUAAUUUUGCUAAAUUUCGUAGAGAACCCCAUGAUAGAGAAUUGCCUAGUAAAGAUGAAAUUAUUGGUCUUGCUUCUAUUGCCGUGCCUCCUACUGAUCCUUUAGAACAAUAUUUGCUAGACCAUGAAAAUGAUAUGUUCACGAAUGAAAGAAGGGAAAUAGAUGAAGUAUUCUUUAAACAGGGACCUAUUUUGAAACACAACUUGCCUGUUGAAAUCCUAGGGGAUCCUCCUCCACCCAAGGGUGAUCCUGUGUUCGAGCUUAAACCAUUGCCUAAUACUCUUAAAUAUGCUUAUCUUGAUGAAAAGAAAAUAUAUCAUGUUAUUAUUAGUGCUAACCUUUCAGAGAAGGAUGAAGAGAAAUUGUUGAAAACUCUGAAAAAGCACCAUGCUGCUAUUGGAUAUACUCUUGAUGAUCUUAAGGGCAUUAGUCCCACUUGUGACGCCCCAAGACCGAUACUCUAGUUGCCAUCCAUUUAUUUCCGUUAUCGCCAUGUGUUUCAUAUGUUGGUUGCCAUGAUCCUGAUGAGUGUCAUUGUCAUAUUUUUGCUUGUUGUGUCAUCUUCAUCUUUUGUUAUAUUGCUUUGUGCCAACCAUGUUGUUGCUAUGGUCAUCUUGCCUGUUAUAUGAUAUAUGAUAUCCCUUUUCUCAUUUUUUUCAUCAUGAUUAUCUUGUGGGUUUGCAUUCUUCAUAUUGAUGUGUUGUUUGUGCGCCCUCCUUUUUCCCCUCCUCGUACGGGUGUUUGCAUCUUCAUCUUUUCAUCAAGACCUUUCUCCACGUGCAAACCUUCUCACUUCUUCCUUUCUUUCAAAUCUUGGUUUUCAUGCCAAGUGACAUUGUUUGUGCCUCCAUUAAUGUUCAUUUAUUUCCUGAUGAUCAUACUCCAUGCCUUAUACCUAUCUGCCAAAUUUUACCUCAAUUGGACUUGAUUUGGUUGGGUUCAAAAAUGCCUCAAGUUUGAAUUUAAUUCAAACUUGAAUUAUUUUUCAACCUCUAAAAAUGUCCAACUCAAUUUACUCAAAUACUAUAUAAAUUCCGGAGCCCAUGGGUAUAUUCAUCUCUUACUCACCACUCUCCUAUGCCUCUAUGCUUUUUCUCUUUCAUUCUAUUUCAUAGAGAUAGAAAAACAACAGCAGCAGGAGCAGCCUAGCGCAGCAGCAGCCCGGCCCAACUCUCCUUCCGCAGCCUCCUUUCACUCUCCCCAUGGUGAAUCCACGCUGGACACCCGUCCAGGCCCCACCUGCAGUCUCUCCUUCCCUUAUUUUUCUUCCUCCUCCCGAUCCCUUUUCUCUCACGGUAAAACUUCAGGAGCGAGGGCACAAGGCCACCGCGGCCAAGCCGCGCCUCCCUCCUAUAAAACCUCUAGUCGAACCCUAGGGUUUCUUUCUUCCUCUUCUCCCUCUUCUCCGCCGCCGCCACGCAGGUAAGAGGCACCCACGCGACCUGCUGCCUCGCCUCCCAACGCCAUGUCCCGGACGAGCCGGAGCUCUUCUCCGGCGAAGCCCGCCCCGCCGGUUCCCCUCCUUCCUCGCGGACCUUCGCAGCACCUCCACGACCCCGUUCUGUGGCGAUCUAAGGCCGGAGACGCCAAGUUCCUCAACAUCCUCUUCCUCUGCUUCGUCUACGCCCCCCUCAUCGUGUUCCUCGAACCCAUGGUGAGCAGCCGCUCCUCCCCGGUUCUUCCCUAGCUUGAACUCAUCCCAUAGCCUUCGUUUCGCUCUUGACCGAGGCCACGACCAUCAUGGCCAGGAGCAGCAGCUUGGCCUACGCACGCAGCGCAUUCGCUUACAGCCCGCUGCUUGCCCUGCUUCACACCCAUGAUCGCCAAGCUGCCGAUGCCAUCCGCCUUGCCGUGCCAUGCCCGAGACGAGCAUGAGCUUGUGCUCGAGCCUUUGUACGCAUCCGUCACACAACGCAUCUAUAUCCUAGUCCCGCACACCCGCCGCCGUCUCCUGGGCCCCGCCGUUUCACCGUUGCCCACCGGCGUAGUCGGUGUGUUCUCUGUUGCAGAGAAGAAGAAACCCCGUCCGCCAUGGGACUAGAUCAAAAGGAGCCGUGCCCCAUCCUGUCAACAAUAGAAGCAGCAGCGCAAUGGUUCAGGCCAUGUAGUUCUACCGGGGAAACCCGGGUUUGAAUCCCCUCGGAACAUAUUUGGAACCCUAAUUUUUGCCUCUAUCCCCUCUAUGACAGUGGGACCCCACUCGUCAUCCUCUCUGUCUCCCACACACUCAGCGCUCAUUCGGGCCAAGUCCUGCUGGGCCGCUGCAGGUUGCUGCAAUCUGGCCCAUGCAUAUUUUUUCCAGUCUGUGUAUUUUAGCAUUUUCCAAUGCAUUCUUAUUUACUGAAAUGCCACUGUUUUGCUUUGUUGACAAUUAAAAAUCCAUGCAUCCAAAUAAAAUAUGUCAUAUAUGUAACUUGCUUAGAAUUUUGUCUAGUUUCAUAAUUUGUAACUUUCAUCCAUGUUUAAAAUGUUAAAAAUGUUGUUUGUUUAAAUUUGUUUAAAUAGCAUGUUAAAAUGAUUUAAUUCAUAACUAAUUACCCGUAGCUCCGAACCUAAUAAACUUUAUAUGUAAAUGGGGUAGAAAAAUGCCUAGUUUAACAUGGUGGCUUUACUUUGCACGUUUAACAACUCUAAAAUAUGGUUUAGGGCAGAACAGUACCAAACCUAAAAAUAUGCACAUGAGGAGUUUCCGGACUUGUUGUUUGUUCUUCCAGCCUCAUUUAAACUUGCCUACAUAGGUAGUUUUCUUUUGCUUCACCCCUUGCCAUGUUAAGAACAUUUAAUAUUUUUGAGUACAUAAACGGGAGAGAAGUAAAUAAGUCACGUGGUGUUUUGUCAAUAUGCAACUCGUUGCAUAUUGAGCUCCAUUUAAUUUGUAGGAUUGUUUGUGCACUUUGCCAUGCCAUGUUUCAUUAAACCGGACAUGCAUCAUACUUGGUUGUGCAUCAUGCCAUGUUUAUGUGAGGGUUGUUUACUAUGUUUUUUGUUUAUUUCCGGUGUUGCUUAUUCGGGUUAGUUCUGAUAACGUCGCAUUUGUGAGGAUUCGUUCGACUACAUCCGUUUGUCUUCUUCAUGGACUCUUUCUUCUUCCUUGUGGGAUUUCAGGCAAGAUGACCAUACCCUCGAAAUCACUUCUAUCUUUGCUUGGCUAGUUGCUCGCUCUUUUGCUAUGCCACGGUACCUACCACAUGCCUUAUCAUGCCUCCCAUAUUGCCAUGUCAAACCUCUAACCCACCUUAUCCUAGCAAACCGUUGUUUGGCUAUGUUACCGCUUUGCUCCGCCCCUCUUAUAGCGUUGCUAGUUGCAGGUGAAGAUGGAGUUUGUUCCUUGUUUGGAAUAUGAUUAUUGCUGGGAUAUCAUUUUUAUAUCUUGUUACUUUAAUGCACCUAUAUACUGGGUAAAGGGUGGAAGGCUCGGCCUUAUGCCUGGUGUUUUGUUCCACUCUUGCCGCCCUAGUUUCCGUCAUACCGGUGUUAUGUUCCUUGAUUUUGCGUUCCUUACGCGGUUGGGUUAUAAUGGGAACCCCUUGAUAGUUUGCUUUGAAUAAAACUCCUCCAGCAAGGCCCAACCUUGGUUUUACCAUUUGCCACCUAAGCCUUUUUCCCUUGGGAGUCGCGCUCCCGAGGGUCAUCUUUAUUUUAAACCCCCGGGCCAGUGCUCCUCUGAGUGUUGGUCCAAAACAGGGCCACUUGUAGCGCCACCUCGGGGAAACUUGAGGGUUGGUUUUAGUUGUACAUAGUGUUCAUCCGGUGUGCCCGGAGAACAAGAUAUGUGCAGCUCCUAUCGGCACUUGUCGGCACAUCGGGCGGCUUUGCUGGAAUUUUUUUACAUUGUCGAAAUGUCUUGUAACCGGGAUUCCAAGUCUGAUCGGGUUGUCCUGGGAGAAGGAAUAUCCUUCGUUGACUAUGAGAGCUUGUGAUGGGCUAAGUUGGGACACCCCUACAGGGUUUUGAACUUUUGAAAGCCAUGCCCGCGGUUAUGGGCAGAUGGGAAUUUGUUAAUGUCCGGUUGUAGAAAACUUGACACUUAACUUAAUUAAAAUGCAUCAACCACGUGUGUAGCCGUGAUGGUCUCUUUCCAGCGGAGUCCGGGAAGUGAACACGGUUCUUGUGUUAUGCUUGAACGUAAGUAGUUUCAGGAUCACUUCUUGAUCACUUCUAGUUCACGACCGUGUUUUGCUUCUCUUCUCGCUCUUAUUUGCGUAUGUUGGCCACCAUAUAUUCUUAGUGCUUGCUGCAGCUCCACCUCACUACCCUUUCCUACCCAUAAGCUUAAAUAGUCUUGAUCUCGCGGGUGUGAGAUUGUUGAGUCCCCGUGACUCACAAAUUACUUCCAAAACCAGUUGCAUGUGCCGAUGAUAUCAAUGCAGGUGACGCAACCCAGUUCAGAUGGGAGCUCGAUGAAGAUCUUGUUUGUUGUGUUGUUUAGUUUGCCUUUUGAUCAGUAGUGGAGCCCAGUCGGGGCGAUCGGGGAUCUAGCAUUAGGGGUUGUCUUUCUUUAUUUGGUUCCGUAGUCGGACCUUGAUUGUAUUCUGGAUGAUGUAAUGCUAUAUUUAUGUAUUGUGUGAAGUGGCGAUUGUAAGCCAACUCUUUAUCUCUUUCUUAUUCAGUACAUGGGAUGUGUGAAGAUUACCCCUCUUGCGAGAUGCCUACUAUGCGGUUAUGCCUCUAAGUCGUGCUCUGACACAUGGGAGAUAUAGCCGCAUCGUGGGUGUUACACCACUCUAUGUCAACACAAGAUAAAUUUGGAGGAAGACGCCAAACCAGUUAUUGAUCAUGAACGACGGCUGAAUCCUAAGAUGAAAGAAGUGGUAAGAAAGGAAAUAUUAAAGCUCCUUGAGGCAGGUAUAAUUUAUCCCGUUGCUGAUAGUCAGUGGGUAAGUCAUGUCCAUUAUGUCCCUAAGAAGGGAGGUAUUACUGUUCUUCCUAAUGAUAGAGAUGAAUUGAUCCCGCAAAGAAUUUUUACAGGUUAUAGGAUGGUAAUUGAUUUCCGCAAAUUAAAUAAGGCUACUAAAAAAUAUCAUUACCUUUGCAUUUUAUUGAUCAAAUGCUAGAAAGAUUAUUUAAACAUACACAUUUUUGCUUUCUAGAUGGUUACUCUGGCUUCUCUCAAAUACCUGUGUCAGCUGAUGAUCAAUCAAAGACCACUUUUACUUGCCCUUUCGGUACUUUUGCUUAUAUAUGUAUGCCUUUUGGUUUAUGUAAUGCACCUUCUACCUUUCAAAGAUGCAUGAUGGCUAUAUUCUCUGACUUUUGAGAAAAGAUAUGUGAGGUUUUCAUGGACGAUUUCUCAGUUUAUGGAUCCUCUUUUGAUGAUUGCUUAAGCAACCUUGAUCAAGUUUUGCAGAGAUGUGAAGAAACUAAUCUUGUUUUGAAUUGUGAGAAGUGCCACUUUAUGGUUAAUGAAGGUAUUGUCUUGGGGCAUAAAAUUUCUGAAAGAGGUAUUGAAGUUGACAAAGCUAAAGUUGAUGCUAUUGAAAAAUGUCAUGUCCCAAGGACAUCAAAGGUAUAAGAAGUUUUUUGGGCCAUGCCGAUUUUUAUAGGAGGUUCAUUAAGGACUUCUCAAAAAUUUCUCGGUCUCUGACUAACCUAUUACAAAAAGAUAUUCCUUUUUUCUUUGAUAAUGAUUGUGUGGAAGCAUUUGAAAUAAUUAAGAAAGCCCUGAUUUCUGCACCUAUUUUCAGCCACCUGAUUGGAGUUUACCCUUUGAAAUUAUGUGUGAUGCUAGUGAUUAUGCUGUAGGGGCUGUUCUAGGGCAAAGAGUUGAUAAGAAAUUAAAUGUUAUUCAAUAUGCUAGUAAAACUCUAGACAAUGCCCAGAGAAAUUAUGCUACCAUUGAAAAGGAAUUCUUAGCAGUUGUAUUUGCUUGUGAUAAGUUUAGACCUUAUAUUGUUGAUUCUAAAGUAAUUGUUCAAACUGAUCAUGCUGCUAUUAAAUAUCUUAUGGAAAAGAAAGAUGCUAAACCUAGACUUAUUAGAUGGGUUCUCUUGCUACAAGAAUUUGAUUUGCAUAUUAUUGAUAGAAAGGGAGCUGAGAACCCCGUUGCAGACAACUUGUCUUGGUUAGAAAAUGUUCUUGAUGACCCACUACUUAUUGAUGAUAGCUUUCCCAAUGAAAAAUUAAAUGUCAUAAAUGCUUCUCGAACUGCUCCAUGGUAUGUUGAUUAUGCUAAUUAUAUUGUUGCUAAAUUUAUACCACCUAGUUUCACAUACCAGCAAAAGAAAAAGUUCUUCUAUGAUUUGAGACAUUACUUUUGGGAUGGCCCACAUCUUUAUAAAGAAGGAGUAGAUGGUAUUAUUAGACAUUGUGUACCUGAGCAUGAACAGGAACAGAUCCUACGCAAGUUUCGGUCUCGCUAGUAGUUCCGCGUGGACUGAUAAUCCACAAGUAUAGGGGAUCGCAACAGUUUUCGAGGGUAGAGUAUUCAACCCAAAUUUAUUGAUUCGACACAAGGGGAGCCAAAGAAUAUUCUCAAGUAUUAGCAGCUGAGUUGUCAAUUCAACCACAACUGGAAACUUACUAUCUGCAGCAAAGUAUUUAGUAGCAAAGUAAUAUGAUAGUAGUGGUAACGGUAGCAAAAGUAAUGUUUUUGGUAUUUCGUAGUGAUGAUAGCAAUAUGAACGGAAAAGUAAAUAAGCGAAGAACAAUAUAUGGAAAGCUCGUAGGCAAUGGGUCAAUGAUGGAUAAUUAUGUCGGAUGGCAUUCAUCAUGAAAAAUUUAUAACAUAGGGUGACAUAAACUAACUCCAAUUCAUUAAUAUAAUGUUGGCAUGUAUUCCGAAUAUAGUCAUACGUGCUUAUGGAAAAGAACUUGCAUGACAUCUUUUGUCCUACCCUCCCGUGGCAGCAUCCUAUUGGAAACUAAGGGAUAUUAAGGCCUCCUUUUAAUAGAGAACCGGAACAAAGCAUUAGCACAUAGUGAAUACAUGAACUCCUCAAACUAAGGUCAUCACCGGGAGUGGUCCCGAUUAUUGUCACUUCGGGGUUGCCGGAUCAUAACACAUAGUAGGUGACUAUAGACUUGCAAGAUAGGAUCAAGAACUCACAUAUAUUCAUGAAAACAUAAUAGGUUGAGAUCUGAAAUCAUGGCACUCGGGCCCUAGUGACAAGCAUUAAGCAUAGCAAAGUCAUAGCAACAUCAAUUUCAGAACAUAAUGGAUACUAGGGAUCAAACCCUAACAAAACUAACUCGAUUACAUGAUAAAUCUCAUCCAACCCAUCACCGUCCAGCAAGCCUACGAUGGAAUUACUCACGCACGGCGGUGAGCAUCAUGAAAUUGGUGAUGGAGGAUGGUUGAUGAUGACGACGAUGAUGAAUCCCCCUCUCCGAAGCCCCGAACGGACUCCAGAUCAGCCCUCCCGAGAGGUUUUAUGGCUUGGCGGUGGCUCCAUAUCAUAAAACGUGAUGAUUUCUUAUCCCUGAUUUUUUUCUCUCCGAAAGCAAAUAUACAGAGUUGGAUUUGGCGUCGGAGGGCAUCCAGGGGGCCCACGAGGUAGGGGGGCAUGCCCCCCACCCUCGUGAGAAGGGUAUGGGCCCCCUGGUCUUCAUAUUUGGCGAGGAUUUUUUUAUUAUUUAUUGUAAGGUGUUCCGUGGAGUUUCAAGUCAUUCCGAUAAUAUUUGUUUUCCGCACAUAAAACAACAUCAUGGCAAUUCGCUGAAAACAGCGUCAGUCCGGGUUAGUUCCAUUCAAAUCAUACAAGUUAGAGUCCAAAACAAGGGCAAAAGAGUUUGGAAAAUUAGAUACGACGGAGACGUAUCACUUCCAUCUAUGGGCCCACGAGGCCAUCGUCGAUGCAUACAUCACUUUGACCUACAUCGGGAGAGGUUAAUUAAUUUCACCAUCAAUGAGGAUUCUUUUUUGGGUUGUAUUACAAUAGGAGCAUAUAGUAUGCGUGGAAGAGGGGGAAGGGGACCAUCAUAUGUAGUACGCUUCAUGAACCUCCCUCUGUGUGGGGAUUUUACGGUUUUCGAGGCAUGUGCCACAUCAAAGUUGUGCAUUUUUGGUAUUCAACAUAUGUUUGGCCCACAUGCAAAGCGAUGGUGGUAGUCCUCUCGCACCCACUUAAGCGGUUAUCCGCGAUAUCAAUGUUUUCUAUCCGUGGGCCCGCUUGGUCCAUCACUACUUUGCCUGACAACGAGAGAGGUUAAUUUGACUUAGGAGGGGAUUGUUUAUUUGCUUGUAAUACGGUAUAUAUAUAGGUCAUGCUCUGGGAUGGCAUGAAUCCCUCACAUCGAGUCGAAGUGGCUAGUACCACGACACGUCAUGAACCGAUCUCACUCUGUGUGGGGACUGUAUGAUUUUCGACGCACACACCACAUCAAUGUUGUGAAAUGGUAUUCAAACUUGCAUGCAUGCAUCACCCCCAUACAUAUGCAUGUAGUGGUUGUCUUUGGACGGUACACUCCCUCGCGUGGUUAUCGGCGACAAGCCUAUAUAUUUGUGGGCCCGCGUGGACAUCCAUGAUCACCUUGACCGACAACAAGAUAGGUUACCAUGGCAGAUUAUUCCUUUGGUUCGUGUUAUCGUAGUAUAGGUCAUGGUGAGAUUCAGACCUAAUUAAGUUUGAGCACAUAAUAUGCAUGCAUGCAUGCAUGAAUCCCCGUCAUCGGCUUGAAGUGUGGUGUGACAUAUAUAUGCAUCGUCAACUAACCCUCACUCGGUGUGGGGAUUUCUGGUUCAGAAACACGGUGCCACAUCAAAGUUGUUCCAUUGUGUAUUCAAACACACCUCUCCAUACAUAUGUUUGGGCCACACCCAGGAAGGGCCGGUCCUGGGAUUUUGCGGGCCCAGGGCUAAAUUAUAAUUGAGGGCCCCCUAAUUUGGACAUCGAAAUAUUAAAUAUGCAAUGAGAUGUCUCUUCAUUCGCUAUAUAGAUUAUCUCAAAUUCUUAUAUUGUAAAUAUUCACAAUAAAAUUUUGUUUUUAUAAAGACUACCAAAUUAUAUAGCAGAUAAAUUAAAUAUAGGCUCAUGAUCACUCACAUAUUUUCAUGUGUGCCAACCUCCAGUACAUCUUCCAUAGGACUUUCAUCCUCUUGAUUAACAAUAGUGUGCUUUUCCACAGCAAAUAUCACUGCCUCGUUCGGAUUAUUUGAAUUGAUCGUAUUCCUCUUGAAAAAAUUAUUAGCGGAUCAUAUUUGCAAUUUUACCAACUCAUCUCUGUAUAUGAAGUAUAAACGAUUAGUACCUGAAAACCACCAUAAAUCAACACUAGAUCAACUCAACAAAUCUUACCAAUUAUCAAAGGCCUGAUAAUGCCCUUUCACACCAAUAGAUAUGCAACUUGUAUCAAUUUCUAUUGGAAAAUUUGCCAUGACAUAGUGUACCUCAUCUUGUCUCAGGACGGGGGAUGUAGCGUUGUUGCCUGGGUGGUGGCCCGUUAGCGUCAUGGCCUGGGCGAUCAGGCAUCAACGAGGACGAGGUACACGCACACAACCAGCAACCUCACAAAUGAUUCAUUGAGAAGACUGUAGAUGAGGAGAAAAAUUGUCAUCUGACAAUAGUGUCGUGCGUGCGCUGCCGCAUUUGUUUGCUUGAAUCGUGAUGGUGCUGAAUCACCCAUCAGCCGGUGCGCCGCUAACUCCUCGAUCAGUGUGCGGUGCGUUACUAAUCCACCAACAACAACCUAGCUAAAUACUACUUGGGCUAGGCCCAAUUGUUUCCAAAGCUGCGAAUAGUACGAUGGGGAAGGAAGGUAGCGUGUGCCCCUGGAGGUUCGCCCCUAAUUAGUGACUUUCCUAAACUCCCCGAUAGAUGGAUGUCUAUCUACGUACCUGGGCGGGGGCCCGUGGAGCUCGGGGGCCCGGGGCGGCCGCCCCCUGCCCCUACCUAGGGCCGGCCCUGCACCCAGGCAGUGGUUGUCUUUGGGGACUAGCUACUUGCGUGAUUAUUGCCGAGCUAGCCCAUCUCCGGGGUCGCAUGGACGGCCAUCACUUUCACAAACAUCAAGAGAGAGGUUGUACGACCAAGGUGGAUUAUUCUUGGUCAGUUUUACGAUCCAUCUUGGUGAGAUGCCCCUCUAACCCACCGACUAAAAGUGUGUGGGGAGGGGGACUGCUACUUCGCACUUUGCUAUGUGAACCUCCGUGGGGGGCAUGCAUUCAUAGCUUAGGAUUCCCUUCCUGCCGACACGAGGGGGCAAGCAAUAUCGUGCGCUCUGCGAGAUAUGUGCCACAUCGAAGUUGCAUUUGGUAUUUGAACAUCAAACCAUGCUUUUCAUACAUAUAUUUGGUCCACAUGCAAGUGUGUUCGUGUUAUGACCCUCUCCCGCGUCAUUUUUCGCCAAAUUGAUGAACAUUAGACAAGUCGGAUGACACAAUAGACAUGGUUCAGUCACACUAACCGUGUGCCACACUGGUGCCCCUGUCGCGCACGUCUGCACAGUACAUUGGGCUCCAUGAGGCUUCCCCUCGCAAAAAUAUCUACCCGCCUGCAGUUUUUUCUGUUUGAUAACACACGGUUAUUAUGUUUUGAUCGUGUGUGAUGUUUCUUGUUCCCGCUCCCGCCUACAUCCCUCGAAAAUAUCUGCCCGCCUCAAGGUUUUUUCUAUUUCAUAACACACAGUUGUUAUUUCUGAACCGUGUGCAAUGCACCAUCAUCCAAAAUUUCAAUAGCCCGGGCAUUUUACUCCCGCGUUUGACUCCCGUGUAGUAAAAUUUUCAGUAGCCGCGUCAUUUCCUCAAUCACACCCCCACCACCCUCCACACGCACACACCAAAACCUCCACGGGCGCGCUCGCGCGCACACACACACACCACCUCCCUCGCUCGAAACCCUAGCAAGGUCGCCUCCGCCACCGCAAGGCCUUCAUUGUCAACAUCUGUCGGUUUGCCCGUGCAGCUUACCCACCAAUCUCCAUACCCCAGUUGCCUUGAGUUUCUUAGAUGACGCCUGCCAAACGCCCCCUUUACCACAUAUCCCCAUCCCCAUCUCCCACUCCAAAGUGUCACAACCUAAACCCGGCUACGCUUCCCAUGGAGCUCGAGGAUCGACAGGCCCAAAAGAGGUGUAUCGCGCUCUCUUCUCCCGGCGUGGCCAAGGAAGCUGACGACCAUUACUGGCCGCCGGCACUCAAUCAACAGGCUAAAGUAUGCGGGUAUGUCACGGAAGCCGGCUACGACAUCGAGGUCGUCUACAGCGACAACCUGACGCAAGCUAUGUCAUAGGUUAAGUGGCCCACCCCCAACCCGUCGAGUUCAACCGCCGUCGAUCUCAUCCAUGGCCCCGCCACUGAUCUCCUCUGGCUCGUUGUCAAGAAUUUGCCAUCCUACUGUAACGCCCACGAUGCGGCUAUAUCUCCCACGUGUCGAAGCAUGACUUAGAGGCAUAACCGCAUUGUAAGUAAUGUCGCAAGUGAGGUAAUCUUCACAACAACCCAUGUAAUAAAUAAGGGAAAAGAUACGUAGUUGGCUUACACUCGCCACAUCACACAAAUAGCAUAAAUAUCAUUACAUUCAUCCAGUUACACUCAAGGUCCGACUACGGAACCAAAAUGAAGAACAACCCCAAAUGCGACAAAGUCCCCGAUCGCCCCAACUGGGCACCACUACUGAUCGUCUGGAAAUGAAACGUAGUAUCGUCCUGAGUCCUCAUCGAACUCCCACUUGAGCUCAAUCGAAUCACCUGGAGCGGUAUCAUCGGUCCCUGCAUCUGGAUUGAAGUAAUCUGUGAGUCACGGGGACUCAGCAAUCUCACACCCUCGCGAUCAAGACUAUUUAAGCUUAUAGGAAGGGUAAAAGUAUGAUGUGGGGCUGCAGCAAGCGACUAGCAUAUAUGGUGGCUAACAUACGCAAAAGAGAGCGAGAAUAGAAGGCAAAGGCACGGUCGAUGAACUAUGAUCAAGAAGUGAUCCUAGAACAACCUACGAUCAAGCAUAACACGAGACCGUGUUCUCUUCCCGGACUCCGCCGAAAAGAGACCAUCAUGGCCACACACUUAGUUGAUUCAUUUUUAAUUAAGUUUAGUUUAAGGUUUUCUACAACCGGACAUUAACAAAUUCUCAUCUGCCCAUAACCGCGGGCACAGAUUUCGAAAGAUCAAAUCCCUGCAGGGGUGUCCCAACUUAGCCCAUCACAAGCUCUCACGGUCAACGAAGGAUAUUCCUUCUCCCAAGAAAAUCCGAUCAGACUCGGAAUCCCGGUUACAAGACAUCUCGACAAUGGUAAAACUAAACCAGCAAAGUCACCUGAAUGUGCCGACAAAUCCCGAUAGGAGCUGCACAUAUCUUGUUCUCAGGGCACACUCAGAUGAGCCAUACGUCGGGUAGGCCAGCCCAGAGUUUCCCCUGGUAGCCCCGGACAUCCCUCAGUUGGACCAACACUUAGAGAAGCACUGGCCCGGGGGGUUAAAAUAAAGAUGACCAUUGAGUCCGCGAAACCCAAGGGAAAAAGGCUAGGUGGUAAAUGGUAAAACCAAGGUUGGUCCUUGCUGGAGGAGUUCUAUUCAAGGCGAACUGUCAAGGGGUUCCCAUUAUAACCCAACCGUGUAAGGAACGCAAAAUCAAGGAACAUAACACCGGUAUGACGGAAACUAGGGCGGCAAGAGUGGAACAAAACACGAGGCACAAAGCUGAGUCUUCCACCCUUUACCAAGUAUAUAGAUGCAUUAAAGUAGACAAGAUAUAAUAAUGAUAUCCCAACAAUAAACAUGUUCCAACAAGGAACAAACUCCAAUCUUUACCUGCAACUACCAACGCUAUAAGAGGGGCUGAGCAAAGCGGUAACAUAGCCAAACAUAGGUUUGCUUGGACAAGGUGGGUUAGAGGUUUGACAUGGCAAUAUGGGAGGCAUGAUAAGCAAGUGGUAGGUAUCGUAGCAUAGGCAUAGCAAAAGAGCGAGCAUCUAGCAAGCAAAGAUAGAAGUGAUUUCGAGGGUAUGGUCAUCUUGCCUGCAAAGUUCUCCGAGUUGACGUUAGCUUGAUCCUCGUAAACAUACUCAACGGGCUCCUCAAUCACGUACUCGUCUUCCGGAUCUACCCAAAGCAAGAAACACAAGCAAAGGGAUACACAAUCAACCACAUGCAAUGCACAAACAACAUGAUGCAAAACAUGGCAUGAUAUGCGGGAUGCGGUAUGCGAUGCAUAUGCAUGAUUCGGAAAGGAAUGAUUGAACCUAGCCUCAACUUGGAAAACCAAGAGUGCCACUGGAAAGAGGAGUUGAUUUCGGUUGAAAUCGAUAUAAAGAUCACCGAAAUCGGAUGCACGGUUUGGAAAUAGCAAGCAAAACAAAUAUGGCACCGAUCUGCGAUUAACAGCACGAGGCCAUCUAAAUGCAUCAAGAACAACAACCUACAGCACUCCAACAUAGCAACAAAAUACAUGGCAGGGAUCCACUCAAGAUUCUUGACAAAAUAUGAACACUGAGCUACAGUUAAUUCACUCAAUAGCAGGUUCAAACAAGCAUGGCAAAAGUGCAAAAGAUAACAGGUUUCAGACUUAGUGAAAUUAACAUCAAGUCAAGAAUUCAACAUCAGGAAGCAAUGUUAGAGCAAGGUAACAACAUGAUACAAGAACAUAUCAUGUCAAGGAAAGGCAUGGCAUGAAGCUACUCAAAGGAUACAACAAAAGUCCCUUGCUGACCAUAAGCCAAAGGGGAUCAGAAAAUACAAUGGCAUCCAUGUGAACAUAGCAAUUAUCGUUAACAGAUUCAGACUUAGCAGAAAACUGGAACAUGGCAAAACAGAUAUUAAGUAGGCAUGUUUACGAGCUCGAUGCACUCACCACAAGGCAUUGCAUGAUAAACUAAGCAUACACCCAGCAAGUAGACAUGGCAUAGAAGCUAAACAUGGCAAGAACAACAUCAUAGCAUGCACGGAUCAACUACAACAACCUCGGCAAAAAUGCUUAGCAUGUAAACAUUCUGCCAGGAACAUUUUAUAGCAAAAGUAGAGCUUGAUUGACUCAAGCUAGGGUGCUCCGUAAAUGCAAACAAAGACAUGGAUGGAUAGAGCACCACAAUAUCUACAAAACAUCCGUACUGAUCAUGCUCAAAAGAGGCAUAGAUCACUCGGUAGCAACAUGAACACAUGGCAUAAAAAUAUAGACAGAACAAAGACUUAGAAUAUUUCCAAGUCCCUGAAAUCAGCAACAUUGAGAGGGCUACUUUGCAUGCUUGUGCUAGUCACCACAGGGAUCACAAAAAUACAUGGCAUACAUCCCUAUAAAGAUGGCAUGGCAUACUUCAAAACACAUGUAGGGCUCAAGUUCAUAGGAGGCACACAUCAAUCAUGGCAAAAAUGACAGAAGUCCAAUUACUGAUAUGAAUCUGAAACUAACAAAAACUAGCACUCUUCCAACAACAUUUAGGGCAUCAAGAUGAGCUCAAAUUAACAUGAUGCAAUGAGAUGAUAUGAAGUACUGAUUGAGACGAACAAUUUGACAUGCUACACGCCCAAAACGGAGCCACGGUUGCAAAGAUACUAUGCGAUGAAUAAUGCAAAAUAUUACUGAAACGGGGCAAAAAGUCAACCGAGGAUUAGGUUUCCGGAUCUGGAUCCAGAUCAGGUACUAUAGCAGCACGGAGAUCGAAGUUUGCCAGAAAUGGGGGGUCGCCGGAGUCGGGCCGGAUCUUCGCCGGAGAGGGGCGCGGGCGCCGGAUCCGGGCGUGUGGACGCCGGAUCUGGCCGGCAGCGAGGUGGCGNNNNNNNNNNNNNNNNNNNNNNNNNNNNNNNNNNNNNNNNNNNNNNNNNNNNNNNNNNNNNNNNNNNNNNNNNNNNNNNNNNNNNNNNNNNNNNNNNNNNNNNNNNNNNNNNNNNNNNNNNNNNNNNNNNNNNNNNNNNNNNNNNNNNNNNNNNNNNNNNNNNNNNNNNNNNNNNNNNNNNNNNNNNNNNNNNNNNNNNNNNNNNNNNNNNNNNNNNNNNNNNNNNNNNNNNNNNNNNNNNNNNNNNNNNNNNNNNNNNNNNNNNNNNNNNNNNNNNNNNNNNNNNNNNNNNNNNNNNNNNNNNNNNNNNNNNNNNNNNNNNNNNNNNNNNNNNNNNNNNNNNNNNNNNNNNNNNNNNNNNNNNNNNNNNNNNNNNNNNNNNNNNNNNNNNNNNNNNNNNNNNNNNNNNNNNNNNNNNNNNNNNNNNNNNNNNNNNNNNNNNNNNNNNNNNNNNNNNNNNNNNNNNNNNNNNNNNNNNNNNNNNNNNNNNNNNNNNNNNNNNNNNNNNNNNNNNNNNNNNNNNNNNNNNNNNNNNNNNNNNNNNNNNNNNNNNNNNNNNNNNNNNNNNNNNNNNNNNNNNNNGGACAUGUCCGACACGCGGAGAGACGAGGGGGGCUAGGGUUUGAGUAGAAUGAUCCGAAAUUUUUGGGGGCGGGGGGGGGGCUAGUUUUAUAGGUAGGAGGAGCUAGGAGGCUCCAAAUUGAGCACGGCUUUCGGCCACGCGAUUGUGAUCGAAGGAUCUAGAUGAUGGAGGGGUCUUAGGUGGGUUUUGGGCCACUUUGGAGGGGUGUUGGGCUGCAACACACACGAGGCCUUUUCGGUUCCUCGGUUAACCGUUGGAGUAUCAAACGAAGUCCAAAUGGCACGAAACUUGACAGGCGGUCUACCGGUUGUAAACCAAGGCUGCUUGGCAAGUCUCGGUCCAACCUGAAAAAUUUUAACACCCGCACACGAAAAGAGGUAGAAAGGGGCACCGGAGGACAUAGGAGCGCCGGAAUACAAAACGGACAACGGGGAAAAUGCUCGGAUGCAUGAGAUGAACACGUAUGAAAAUGUGAUGCACAUGAUGACAUGAUAUGAGAUGCAUGACAAAGACAAAACAACAUGAAGACAAAAACCCGACAACGAGGAAAUAAAAUAACUUAGUGCCGGAAAAGGCAAGAGUUGGAAUACAAAUAUGGCAUGUUACAUGCGGGGUGUUACAACACUCCAUCUCUACGAAAGGAUCUCGUCCCGAGAUCUAGGACUGGAAAAACUCCGGGUACUCAGAACGGAGGUGAUCCUCGCGUUCCUAGGUGGCUUCACGGUCGGAAUGAUGUGACCACUUGACUUUCAGGAAUUUGAUAGACUUGUUGCGAGUCUUGUGCUCAGUUUCUUCAAGAAUAGCAACGGGGUGCUCAUGACAAGACAGGUCUUCUUGGAGAUCAAUCUCUUCAAAGUUGAUGGUGCGGUCAGGAGUCUUGAAACACUUGCGGAGUUGAGAGACAUGAAACACGUCGUGCACAUUUGCAAAGUUGGAUGGAAGCUCAAGUUGAUAGGCGAGAUCGCCUCUUUUGCCAAUGAUCUUGAAAGGACCCACGUAUCUAGGGGCAACAUUCCCUUUGAUACCGAAGCGACGAGUACCUUUCAUUGGAGAGAAGCGGAGGUAGACAUGGUCUUCGAUCUCGAAAGCCAAGUCACGAUGCUUGCUAUCAUAGUAACUCUUCUGGCGCGAUUGCGCGGCUUUGAGGUUAUCACAAAUGACUUUGCACAUUUCUUCAGCCUUUGUGAUCAAGUCAUUUUCGAGAAGUUGACGUUCACCAGUCUCUGACCAUUUAAGAGGAGUAUGGCACUUCCUGCCAUAGAGAAUUUCGAAUGGGGCCUUGCCCGAACUCGCUUGGAAGCUGUUGUUGUAGGAGAACUCGGCAUAUGGAAGACAAUCUUCCCACUUCAUACCGAAAGAAAUGACGCAAGCCCUGAGCAUAUCUUCAAGAAUCUGAUUUACCCAUUCGACUUGGCCACUGGUUUGAGGAUGAAAAGUUGUGCUGAAGCGAAUGUUGGUGCCCAUGGCCUUCUGAAAAGAAUCCCAAAACUUGGAGGUGAAGAUGCUGCCACGAUCUGAAGAUAUCAACUGUGGAAUGCUGUGCAGAGAGACAAUCCUGGAGGUAUAUAGCUCUGCCAACUGAGCUGCUGUGAUAGAUUCUUUGAUAGGAAGAAAAUGAGCCACUUUGGUGAGCUUGUCGAUGACAACGAAGAUAGCAUCAUUGCCACGCUUGUACUUUGGAAAUCCAGUCACGAAGUCCAUCUCAAUAUGGUCAAACUUCCAUUCUGGGAUGGCAAGAGGUUGGAGGAGACCAACUGGUUGUUGGUGUUCUGCUUUCACUCUUCUGCGGACAUAACAUUCAUUCAUGAACUGAGCAAUCUCGCGCUUCAUUCAAGUCCACCAAUACGACUGCUUGAGGUCCUGGUACAUCUUUGUACUUCGAGGAUGAAUGAAAGGAGUGAAUUGUGAGCCUUGUUCAUAAUGACUUUACGAAGGUCACCUUUAGGAACAACAAUGCGAUCCUCGAAGAAUAGAGUAUCCUUGUCAUCAAGACGAUAGCACUUGUACUUGGGUUGACUCUUGGCAAUCCCAAUCUUCACCUUCUUCACCAUAGCAUCAAGAAGUUGAGCCUCGUGAAUAUGAUCUUCCAAAGUAGGAGAGACUUGGAGGUUGGCAAGAAAUCCUUGAGGAACAACUUGCAGAUUGAGUUUGCGGAAAGCUUCACAAAGCUCUGGUUGGUAAGGCUUGAGAAUCAGACUGUUGCAGUAAGCCUUCGUGCUCAAUGCGUCAGCAAUUACAUUGGCCUUGCCUGGAGUAUAUUCGAUACUCAGAUUAUACUCUUGAAUCAUUUCGACCGAACGAGUCUGCCUGAGGUUGAGGUUUGGCUGAGUGAAGAUGUACUUGAGACUCUUGUAAUCAGUGAAGAUGUCCACUUUUCGUCCCAAUAAGAGAUGUCUCCAAGUUAGAAGAGCAUGGACAACUGCCGCCAACUCGAGGUCAUGAGUGGGGUAGUUCUUUUCGUUGGGCUUCAACUGGCGAGAGGUAUAGGCCACAACUUUCUUCUCUUGCAUCAACACUGCACCAAGACCUUGAAGGGAAGCAUCACAGAAGACCUCAAACGGUUUGGAUUCAUCAGGAGGAGUCAGAACUGGACCAGUGACUAACUUCUCUUUCAGGGUGUUGAAAGCGAUGUCACAUUCAGGCGACCAGACAUACUUCACAUGCUUCUGGAGAAGGUUGUUAAGAGGCUUCACGAUCUUAGAGAAGUUCUCAACGAACCUUCGACAAUAACUUGCGAGCCCAAGGAAGCUGUGGAGUUGCUUCACAUUCUGAGGCGGUUCCCAAUUCACAAUUGCAGACACCUUCUUAGGAUUAACCACUAUGCCCUUGGCAGAGAUGAUAUGCCCAGGGUAGAGAACCUCAUCGAGCCAAAACUCGCACUUUGAAAGCUUCGCAUAGAACUGAUGUUCUCUGAGUUUAUCCAGCACCAAUCUCAAGUGUUUGGCAUGAUCCUCCUUGUUCUUGGAAAAGACCAAAAUGUCAUCGAGGUAGAACAAGACGAAGUCAUUUGUGUAGGCAUUGAAGAUGAAGUUCAUCAUGCGAGAGAAUGUUGGAGGAGCAUUGACGAGGCCGAAAGACAUGACAGUGUAUUCAUAUGAACCAUAGCUUGUUUUGAACGUUGUCUUGGGGAUAUCUUGUUCACGAAUACGAAUUUGAUGAUAGCCCAUACGCAGGUAAAACUUGGAGAAAACUUGAGCACCUUUGAGUUGUUCAAAUAGCUCAUUGAUGUUGGGAAGUGGGUACUUGUUCUUUAUGGUCUUCUUGUUCAAUGGACGGUAGUCGACACAAAAUCGGUCUGUUCCAUCCUUCUUCUUCACAAAAAGAACACCAUAACCCCAUGGAGAAGAACUUGGUCGGAUGAGACCCAUGCGCUCUUGAAUAUCGAGUUGUUUCUUCAGCUCCUUCAACUCUUCAGGUCCAAGCUUGUACGGACGUUUGCAAACAGGUUCCGUGCCAGGCUCAAGAUCGAUGACGAAUUCAACUGGCCGGUGCGGAGGCAUUCCUGGAAGCUCUUCUGGAAAGACGUCUUGAUAUUCACAAACGACUGGAAUUUGAGAAAUGGCAUCCAGCUCGCCCUUCUCGUUGAGAGAAAACAGUCGGAUGGUAUCAUCACGAGCGGCAAAGACGAUUACAUCCUUAGACGAAUGUGUCAAUUGAAUCUGCCUGGCUGCACAAUCAAGCUGAGCCUUGUGCUUAGAAAGCCAGUCCAUUCCGAGAAUAAGAUCAAUACCCGAGUUACCAAGGACCACUGGAGAGGACAGAAACUUAUAGUCGCCCAACGUGAUAGUAACAUCCGGGAUCAUAGAGCUUGCAUUCAUGAAUUUACCCGGAGAAACAACUGAUAACUGUCUAGGCAAAUCUUGGAAAGGCAACUCAUGCUUAGAUGCAAAUGGUCUUGAAAUGAAACAAUGUGAUGCACCGGUGUCAAAAAGAACUUUUGCAGGAAUAUCGUUAACAGGAAGGUUACCCAUUAUCACAUCUGACGAGUCUUCUGCCUAAGUUGCAUUCAUCAAGUUGACCUUAGCAGGCUUGGGGUUAUGCUUGACCAUUGCGGUGCUGGAAGAUCUCACAGGAGGAGGAAGACGCCUCUGAUUGAAGCAUUUGUUGGCAUAGUGACUGUGAUGGUCUGGCUUAUUAGGGAUGAUAGACUACUCAUAUCAAUAAGGAAUUCCUUCUUUUCUGGAAGCCCAUUCGGACAGAACUCCAAAGUUAAGCGUGCUCAUCUUGGAGUAGUGUCAGGAUGGGUGACCGACCGGGAAGUUGCUCCCGGCUGCGCACGAGUGAGGACAAAGUGCACGGAAAAGACUAGUAUUGAUCGGUGGGGCCAGUCUAGAUCCCGCCAGGAGUAACGACCACUGGCGGGUGUGUCCGGGGCAUUACAAGUUAGUAUCAGAGCCGACCCUCACAGUUACAUGGAUGUUUGCGGACAGGUGCGCGGUCAUGUUGUUCAUGACGUUUGUGACCCGUCGUGGCACACGGCAUGGUACAUGUACCGGACUGGAUGCACAGACGUAUGUGCCAAGAGGGAACGUUCCUGUGGCCCGACAAGGACGUCGGUUCCUCUGAGUGGGGGUGUAUGUGAUGGUCUGGCUUAUUAGGGAUGAUAGACUACUCAUAUCAAUAAGGAAUUCCUUCUUUUCUGGGAGCCCAUUCGGACAGAACUCCAAAGUUAAGCGUGCUCACCUUGGAGUAGUGUCAGGAUGGGUGACCGACCGGGAAGUUGCUCCCGGGUGCGCACGAGUGAGGACAAAGUGCGCAGAAAAGACUAGUAUUGAUCUGUGGGGCCAGUCUAGAUCCCGCCAGGAGUAACGACCACCGGCAUGAGAAGAUCCAUUGCCACCUUUGCUCUUCUGCUGAUAAGGCUGGCGGAACGGAGGAGGAGGCAUCCAAUACUUUUGCUGCUUAGUUGCCACUUGAGUUGAGGAAGAAGGAGUUGCAUCUCUGACUCGUUUCUUGGAAGCAUCGCACUUCAACUGGGCAGCCUCUUGUUUUAGUGCCAUGUUGUAAAACUCAUCGUACUUCUGCGGCUCAAACAGCAUGAGAGCUAGCUGGAGAUCUUCUCUGAGACCACCUCUGAACUGAUAAAUCAUGCUCUUCUCGUCAGGGACGUCUUGCUUAGCGAAACGGGCGAGCUUCUGCAACAUGAUGUUGUACUGGUAAACAGACAAGCUGCCUUGCUUCAGGUUGUGGAAUUCCUCACGCUUGCUCUCAACAACACUCUGAGGAAUGUGGUGAGCUUUGAAGUCUUGACGGAAUUCAUCACAGGUAAUCACACGACCUCCUCUGGAAUCUUUGUAUUGCUGAAACCAUUCUAUAGCUUGGUCUUUGAGUUGGAACGAGGCAAACUUGACAAAGUCCUCAGGCCUGACAUUGCUGCACUCGAAAUGCUUGCAGAUAUCCAUGAGCCAAUCAUCGGCGCCUGUUGCCUCGACACAGUUACUGAAGGUCUUUGGCUAGUUAGCGAGGAACUGGUUGAGUGUAGCAAACUGAUUCUGAUUGUUGCCAUGGCCUUGAUUUCCUUGGUUGCGCUCUUGCAAAAUUUGCAUGAUCAGCUGCGUGUUUGCAUUGGUAGCGGCCAUCACAGCUUGCCAUGCCUCCGGAGGUGGAGGUGGUGGUGGCGGAUCAGGAUUCGAAUGCGUAGGAGGAGCCAUCCUGAAGAGGGUGACAUCUGUUAGCAUCUUGACAGACAUAUAUUCAAGCUGAAUCAAAUGGAUCGAAAUUGCAACAUAAAGUCUUAACAUCCGAACAAAAUGAACGAAUGCAUUCCAAUUGAAAUGGUCACACUUCCAUAAAUUGAGAAGCCACUUAGAUAGAGGUAGAAGAAUAAAACAACAAGGUACGAACAAGAACAAAUACUUGGUGAGGAUUACCCAAUCACAAACCAAAUAUUCACGGAAGAAAUACUAGAGCUACAUGAAUUCCCACCUAUGAAACUCCUGAACCUUUCCGGUUAUGCAAUCAUGUGUUGGGGAUACAGGGGAAGCAUAAUAUCUCACCCAAAGGUAGCAAAUCCUACAUCCAGCUGUAUCCAUCCUUCAACACAUAACCAAGAAACCUUCGGAAAUCACUUACCUCAACCUUCGAAAAGCAUCUGUUAUACGAAUUAUGGCAAUACUCCCGAACUCCCGCCCCAGUACUGGGUGGCGUCGAGGUUAUCUCACCAACAACUGCAUAAAAGAGAUUUUCGAUGUCGGCGAAACUCAGGUAUUCCAGAAUUGCAACGAUAAAAUUGUGACGACAACACCUCGGAGAUCAACUCCCCGGGACACUGCCACAACCCCUAAAUGUCAGGAGGCACCAAGAACAAUGUUCUCGUCACAAAACCAUCAGAACGAUUCCAAGAUACCCGCGUGAUAUUAAAAAAAUUAGUGAAAUUUGAGAAGAGAAGAGUCAAAACUCUACGUCAGGAUGCCUCACCAGAGCGACGAAGGGACUGAGGAGUAAAACAAAUCCUACUCUCCGAUAUAUAUAUAAUCCUAAAUGACUCAAAACAUUUUUCUAGACUCAACAACGCCAGCGAUUCGAUCAAGCAGGGGGCUCCUAAAGUCAGGGAAGGCUUUGAUUACCAACUUGUAACGCCCACGAUGCGGCUAUAUCUCCCAUGUGUCGAAGCAUGACUUAGAGGCAUAACUGCAUUGUAAGCAAUGUCGCAAGUGAGGUAAUCUUCACAACAACCCUUGUAAUAAAUAAGGGAAAAAGAUACAUAGUUGGCUUACACUCGCCACGUCACACAAAUAGCAUAAAUAUCAUUACAUUCAUCCAGUUACACUCAAGGUCCGACUACGGAACCAAAAUGAAGAACAACCCCAAAUGCGACAAAGUCCCCGAUCGCCCCAACUGGGCACCACUACUGAUCGUCUGGAAAUGAAACAUAGUAUCGUCCUGAGUCCUCAUCGAACUCCCACUUGAGCUCAGUCGAAUCACCUGGAGCGGUAUCAUCGGUCCCUGCAUCUGGAUUGAAGUAAUCUGUGAGUCACGGGGACUCAGCAAUCUCACACCCUCGCGAUCAAGACUAUUUAAGCUUAUAGGAAGGGUAAAAGUAUGAUGUGGGGCUGCAGCAAGUGACUAGCAUAUAUGGUGGCUAACAUACGCAAAAGAGAGCCAGAAUAGAAGGCAAAGGCACGGUCGAUGAACUAUGAUCAAGAAGUGAUCCUAGAACAACCUACGAUCAAGCAUAACACGAGACCGUGUUCUCUUCCCGGACUCCGCCGGAAAGAGACCAUCAUGGCCACACACUCAGUUGAUUCAUUUUUAAUUAAGUUUAGUUUAAGGUUUUCUACAACCGGACAUUAACAAAUUCUCAUCUGCCCAUAACCGCGGGCACAGAUUUCGAAAGAUCAAAUCCCUGCAGGGGUGUCCCAACUUAGCCCAUCACAAGCUCUCACGGUCAACGAAGGAUAUUCCUUCUCCCAAGAAAAUCCGAUCAGACUCGGAAUCCCGGUUACAAGACAUCUCGACAAUGGUAAAACUAAACCAGCAAAGUCACCUGAAUGUGCCGACAAAUCCCGAUAGGAGCUGCACAUAUCUUGUUCUCAGGGCACACUCAGAUGAGCCAUACGUCGGGUAGGCCAGCCCAGAGUUUCCCCUGGUAGCCCCGGACAUCCCUCAGUUGGACCAACACUUAGAGAAGCACUGGCCCGGGGGGUUAAAAUAAAGAUGACCAUUGAGUCCGCGAAACCCAAGGGAAAAAGGCUAGGUGGCAAAUGGUAAAACCAAGGUUGGGCCUUGCUGGAGGAGUUUUAUUCAAGGCGAACUGUCAAGGGGUUCCCAUUAUAACCCAACCGUGUAAGGAACGCAAAAUCAAGGAACAUAACACCGGUAUGACGGAAACUAGGGCGGCAACCCUUUACCAAGUAUAUAGAUGAAUUAAAGUAGACAAGAUAUAAUAAUGAUAUCCCAACAAUAAACAUGUUCCAACAAGGAACAAACUCCAAUCUUCACCUGCAACUAGCAACACUAUAAGAGGGGCUGAGCAAAGCGGUAACAUAGCCAAACAACGGUUUGCUAGGACAAGGUGGGUUAGAGGUUUGACAUGGCAAUAUGGGAGGCAUGAUAAGAAAGUGGUAGGUAUCGUAGCAUAGGCAUAGCAAAAGAGCGAGCAUCUAGCAAGCAAAGAUAGAAGUGAUUUUGAGGGUAUGGUCAUCUUGCCUGCAAAGUUCUCCGAGUUGACGUUAGCUUGAUCCUCGUAAACAUACUCAACGGGCUCCUCAAUCACGUACUCGUCUUCCGGCUCUACCCAAAGCAAGAAACACAAGCAAAGGGAUACACAAUCAACCACAUGCAAUGCACAAACAACAUGAUGCAAAACAUGGCAUGAUAUGUGGGAUGCGGUAUGCGAUGCAUAUGCAUGAUUUGGAAAGGAAUGAUUGAACCUGGCCUCAAUUUGGAAAACCAAGAGUGACACUGGAAAGAGGAGUUGAUUUCGGUCGAAAUCGAUAUAAAGAUCACCGGAAUCGGAUGCACGGUUUGGAAAUGGCACCGAUCUGCGAUUAACAGCAUGAGGCCAUCUAAAUGCAUCAAGAACAACAAUCUACAGCACUCCAACAUAGCAACAAAGUACAUGGCAGGGAUCCACUCAAGAUGCUUGACAAAAUAUGAACACUGAGCUACGGCUAAUUCACUCAAUAGCAGGUUCAAACAAGCAUGGCAAAAGUGCAAAAGAUGACAUGUUUCAUACUUAGUGAAAUUAACAUCAAGUCAGGAAUUUAACAUCAGGAAGCAAUGUUUAGAGCAAGGUAACAACAUGACACAAGAACAUAUCAUGUCAAGGCAAGGCAUGGCAUGAAGCUACUCAAAGCAUACAACAAAAGUCCCUUACUGACCAUAAGCCAAAGGGGAUCAGAAAAUACAAUGGCAUCCAUGUGAACAUAGCAAUUAUCGUUAACAGAUUCAGACUUAGCAGAAAACUGGAACAUGGCAAAACAGAUAUUAAGUAGGCAUGUUUACGAGCUCGAUGCACUCACCACAAGGCAUUGCAUGACAAACUAAGCAUGCACCCAGCAAGUAGAUAUGGCAUAGAAGCUAAACAUGGCAAGAACAACAUCAUAGCAUGCACGGAUCAACUACAACAACCUCGGCAAAAAUGCUUAACAUGUAAACAUUCUGCCAGGAACAUUUUAUAGGAAAAGUAGAGCUCGAUUGACUCAAGCUCGGGUGCUCCAUAAAUGCAAACAAAUACAUGGAUGGAUAGAGCACCACAAAAUCUACAAAACAACCUUACUGCUCAUGCUCAAAAGAGGCAUAGAUCACUCGGUAGCAACAUGAACACAUGGCAUAAAACUAUAGACAGAACAAAGACUUAGAAUAUUUCUAAGUCCAUGAAAUCAGCAACAUUGAGAGGGCUACUUUGCAUGCUUGUGCUAGUCACCACAGAGAUCACAAAAAUACAUGGCAUACAUCCCUGUAAAGAUGGCAUGACAUACUUCAAAACACAUGUAGGGCUCAAGUUCAUAGGAGGCACACAUCAAUCAUGGCAAAAAUGACAAAAGUCCAAUUACUGAUAUGAAUCUGAUCCUAACAGAAACUAGAACUCUUCCAACAACAUUUAGGGCAUCAUGAUGAGCUCAAAUGAACAUGAUGCAAUGAGAUGAUAUGAAGUACUCGUCGAGACGAACAAUUUGACAUGCUACACGCCCAAAACGGAGCCACGGUUGCAAAGAUAUGAUGCGAUGAAUAAUGCAAAAUAUUACUGAAAUGGGGCAAAAAGUCAACAGAAGAUUAGGGUUCCGGAUCUAGAUCCAGAUCGGGUACUGUAGCAGCACGGAGAUUGAAGUUUGCCAGAAAUGGGGGGGUCGCCGGAGUCGGGCCGGAUCUUCGCCGGGGAGGGGCGCCGGACCCGAGCAUGGGGACGCCGGAUCUGGCCGGCGGUAGGGCGGCGUCGGUGGUUGGAGUAAGCGGCGAGGCAGCGGACGUCGCCGGGUGGCGAAGGGCGGCGGUCGCAGGGAGGGGCGUCNNNNNNNNNNNNNNNNNNNNNNNNNNNNNNNNNNNNNNNNNNNNNNNNNNNNNNNNNNNNNNNNNNNNNNNNNNNNNNNNNNNNNNNNNNNNNNNNNNNNNNNNNNNNNNNNNNNNNNNNNNNNNNNNNNNNNNNNNNNNNNNNNNNNNNNNNNNNNNNNNNNNNNNNNNNNNNNNNNNNNNNNNNNNNNNNNNNNNNNNNNNNNNNNNNNNNNNNNNNNNNNNNNNNNNNNNNNNNNNNNNNNNNNNNNNNNNNNNNNNNNNNNNNNNNNNNNNNNNNNNNNNNNNNNNNNNNNNNNNNNNNNNNNNNNNNNNNNNNNNNNNNNNNNNNNNNNNNNNNNNNNNNNNNNNNNNNNNNNNNNNNNNNNNNNNNNNNNNNNNNNNNNNNNNNNNNNNNNNNNNNNNNNNNNNNNNNNNNNNNNNNNNNNNNNNNNNNNNNNNNNNNAGGAGAGGCGCGGCGUGGCGUGGCCCGGUGGCGGCACGGGAUGGCCGGCCGCGGGCUUCCACGGGCCGCGGCGGUGGACGACGCGGUGGCGACAGGUGACGGACUCUGGUUGGCGGUGGCGGGAAUGUUCAGCACGCCCGGACACGUCCGGCGCGCGAAGAGACGAGGGGGGCUAGGGUUAGGGUAGAAUGAUCCGAAAUUUUUGGGGGGAGGCUAGUUUUAUAGGUAGGAGGAGCUAGGAGGUUCCAAAUUGAGCACGGUUUUCGGCCAUGCGAUCGUGAUCAAACUAUCUAGACGAUGGAGGGGUCUUAGGUGGGCUUCGGGCCACUUUGGAGGGGUGUUGGGCUGCAACACACACGAGGCCUUUUCGGUUCCUCGGUUAACCGUUGGAGUAUCAAACGAAGUCCAAAUGGCACAAAACUUGACAGGCGGUCUACCGGUUGUAAACCAAGGCCGCUUGGCAAGUCUCGAUCCAACCUGAAAACGUUUAACACCCGCACACGAAAAGAGGUAGAAAGGGGCACUGGAGGACAUAGGAGUGCCGGAAUGCAAAACGGACAACGGGAAAAUGCUCGGAUGCAUGAGACGAACACGUAUGCAAAUGUGAUGCACAUGAUGACAUGAUAUGAGUUGCAUGACAAAGACAAAACAACACGAAGACAAAAACCCGACAAUGAGGAAAUAAAAUAUCUUAGUGCCGGAAAAGGAAAGAGUUGGAAUACAAAUAUGGCAUGUUACAUACGGGGUGUUACACCUACAUCACCAUCGAGCCCCUUUUGACAUUUCUGAAGGACACGUCCUGCGACGCUGGCUUGGGAUCCACAGCUUCCAAGUUAGACAUCAUCGACGGCGACCAUGAGGAGGGCACCCUCUCCGGAUCUUCCAAGGGGAAAGAACCCAUCUGCUCUUCCAAGGGGAAAGAGCCCAUCUGCGACAUCAGGGAGGGCACCCUACAACUGUGCUCUUCCCAGGGGAAGGAGCCCAUCUGCGACAACAUGGAGCACAUCUAGGGUCUAUGCUCUUCCCACGGGAACGAGCCCAUCUGUGACAAGUGAGGAAACCCAUGAUUUGUUUUUCCAUGCCUCUUCAUAGGUGGGAACCCAUGAUUUGUUUUGUCGAGUCCCUUUUGUAGUGUAGUGAGAAUAUGUCUAGUUUUAAUUGCUAUAUUUGGUUGUUUGCAUUAUGCCUUGUUUAUUUCAGUUGUUCACAAUGUGAUGCCUCUAUAUGUGCAAUUAUUUACUGUGCAGUACAUUUCAUCAAUCCAGUUUUAAACAUACCGAUAGGAAUGCAUAUAUUUGCUUAUUGUUAAGCCUGUUAUAGCUAGCAUAUGCCUCUUUUAAAGAUUUUUGAUUGUUCGGUUGUUUGUAGUUAGCAUAUGUCCAUUUUCAAAUGCUAUAUUUGGUUGUUCAUAGUAUGCCUUGUUUAUUCUAGUUAUUCACAAUGUGAUGUUCUAUAUGUGCAAGUAUGAACUGUGUAGUUCAAUUUCAUCAAUACCAGGUUCAACAAUACCACUAUGAAUGACUACAUUUGGUUGCUACAUCUUGUAGUUAACACGCCUUUUCAUUUUUAUUUAACAAUAACCAAUGUACUUAGACCGGCAUAAUACCAGUUUGAAUGACUAUGUUUGCUUGUUGUUAAAUGUUAGGCCUGUUGCAGUUAACACACCUUUCCACUUGUUUUGCUUUACUAGCAUGCUCAAACCUGCACACUGAAGCUAUCUUUUGGACAUUAUUUUGUCUGCCAUGGAUAUAUUUGGUUGAUGUUUAGCCUGUUGUGCUUAACAUACCUCCUGAUGUACCUACACGGGACAAUUUUGGGAACGACUAUUGUUUUCCAUUGAGGUUAGUUUCAUCCCAUGGCUUUAUAUAUACUCACUGUUCAGUAUAUCGGUAGUUAGUACCAUAUAGGUUAGGGAGUGAUAAGGGACUAAUCGGUGAAUUGGACUUUUAACUGAAUAUAUCUGCAACCCAUUUAUCGUUAGGUUAACUAGGGCCAUAUGUAAUAUAUCUGAGGCUACAUAGCAACAUGCACUGUACUUAAUGUCUAAAUAUGCAAUCCUAGGCUACAUAGCAACAAGGAAGAGUGUUACCUUAAUGUUCUGAUGAUGUCUAGAUAUACAUAGAAGAGCAGCAGCAGCAAUAACAACAACACACCGGGUUUGGAUAUUCAACUUAGCUAGAGGUUAGAGUUAGUUUCUAGCUCAUAACUAACCCUGAACUAGCUCCAUCUAAGGAGGUGUUUGGAUGACAGGAUUAGAUUGACAAUAAAUGCACUAGGAGAACUAGCUCUAGUUAGCACCUCUUGGGUGGGAUUGUUUUUUUGAGUGGGUUAGAUGCAACUUGCUCAAACUAGCCCUCAUUUUUGGAUAUACUUUAGGGCUAUUUGAGCCCAAAAUAGCUCAAAACUAACUCUAACCCAUGGAUACAACAACAGUUAAUCAGCUGAUAAUUUGUAAAAAUGCAAUAAACUCCUUGUAGCCCAUAAUAUAAGACGUUAAUUCAUCUAAUAUGUGAGUAUAUUGGAUGUUAUAAGAUAUUAUAAAAGAGUAUUGUACUACACCAUCGUGCAAUUGAUGUUUAGCUUCUAAUAUUAACUUGGUUAUUUUAGGUACAUAUGUCAUUGGUAAAGAUCCGCGCUUCGACCCUUUCUACGUAUGGGGCAAUGAGAUAUCGAUGAACCAACAUCAAGUGAGGAAGCUGAUAAAGAUUGUUAGUAAAAUGGGUCAAAAGAUGGCAAUUAAACUAUUUGUUUACACUUUAUCCAAGAUAACAGUGAACUGCAGGAUGGUAAGUAAGAACUCUACAGGCUUCUUUUUACUGCCCAUAAUGAGUUGUGUUUGAUGACAAUGUCUGAAUCUUUGUCCUUUGCAGUGGUUCCCAAAGCAGUUUACUCAAGAUUACCUCUCAAACUACAUGAUUGGUGAGCAUGAAAGGUUAAAGUAUUUCUACCAGAACACAAUGAUUAUCUAGAUGUUUUCAUGAAGACCAUGAAGAAUGGGCGGUCGGCCAUCACAAGGGGUUGGACUAGAGUCGUGUGUACCUUCUACAUGGAGGAGGGCACAAUAUGGGCAUUCCGCUUCACCUUGUUCAGUAACCAGAAUGUAUUUCACCUCUUUAUGUACCGUCUUUAAUAGUAUAAGUAUACAAAUGUGGUUCAUCAUUCUUUAUUUGGUUCUUACGUAAUUCUUGAACAUAUGUACCUAGGAAUCGAAUAAUGCAUUGGUUGUUUGAACCUGAUGGAUAUGAAUAAAGCUAUAGCAUACAUUCAAAUUCAAAUCUGGUACAAUUUGAAAUAGUAGUAAAUAAAUUACGGUGAAAUUACGCUCUCCAGGUCGUUACGGCACACACGGUUGGUAAAACACAAACAUUUGCGAUAUACACCAUAAUCCGACACGGUUCAUAGAGAGAAAACAUGUGCAAGCAUGCACACAGUUGACGUUUGCAAAGCGUGUGCGAUGUCAGACAAUAUCACAAAUGGUGCGGGCAAACUAAAUGUUUGUGAUAGUUGCCUUAUCGUACACGAUUCACAACCAUGAAUUGUUUCUGAUGUGGUAUGCAUCGUAAACGUUGCACCACAUAAUAGCAUGUGCGGUAGUUGUCGUGUACGACGAUGUUAUGACGGUCUGACGUUUUGUAAUCCUGUCUGACAAUCAUACGAUGAUUGGCUAAUCUUCUUAAUUAGUUAUCGCAUACGGUUUGGGAAAAGUGAAUGUGUGUGAUUGUCUGCUUAUCAUACACGUUCUAUAAUCGUGAACCAUUUGUGAUCGGCCGCACAUCGUAAACGUAGCACCACAAAAUACCAAUUACGAUGGCAAUGUGAGCACAAACGAGUUGCAAGGAUGCAGCGUCUGGCUGGCUCCCUAUCCCCGAUGGUUUCUGGGUCGUGUGGGAAGGACCCCCCUAUCGCAGGCACCCUCUUGGCGACGGUUCCAAAUGCCAUCGUGGAAAGGGGUUAAAACCAUUUGUAUAGCACCUUGUUGUAUCAGUAAGUGCAUGCAGUAUAGCUAGGAGCUCCAGGCGCAUUUGGCGGCGGAGAAGCAAAUCGCAGUCGCACGCGCGGAUGAGGUCGCAAUGGCUGCCAUUCGUGCUAACCCCCAGAUCUUGGAGGAGCACCUCGCCAUCGAGGCCACCAUCGACGCCUCGCGCACCGAUAUCGCGAUGCGGUUGUCUGCUUUAAACAACAGUUCAUGGCAUUUUCUCGAGGCCACCGUCAGUGCCUUCGACGAAGACUACGAGGUGUUUUCUCCGCGUGCCCGUGCUUACCUCAACUCGAGAGCCAUCAGGUUGGUGCCCGGAGCAGCUCAGGCAAGUCACCACUACGAGGAGGGCACCCACGAUGUGGAGGCCUCACCCUCUUCCAUGUCCAAGGAGCCAAUCAUUAUCGUUAUCUUUGACAAUGAGGAGUAGCUUGUCUUAUUAGCUCACUAUAAGGACCUAUGUUCAGUUAGCUAGCUAUGCUGGUUAAGCAUGCUCGCUUUACCCGUUGCAUGUGCUGCUCCUGCCUUUCCUUAACAAAUUCUAGUGAAUUGUCCUAUCUACUUUUACCAUGCAAUCUGUUGCUCUAGUGUAUAUGUUCUAUAAGUCAUGCAAUGUAGUGCUCACUUAUUAACUGUUUGGUUAAUUAGUUAUCGUAUUCAGUUAACUAUUUGGUUCAAUUCCGCAAUGUGAUGUUCAAUUCUUCAGGGUGCAAUUUUGUAUUGUCUUCCAUGUGACAAAUAAAUCAAAUUUAUCUAUACAAAAUACAUGAGAAACAAAUAUAAUUGCUAUAUUUGCAAGUUGUCAAGCAUGCUUGGUUUUCUUAACUAUCUGAUCUUCUACUAUGUUAUAUAUUGUGCAAUGUGGUGCUCAGUUAAUAUUUGGUUCAUUUGCUGUGGUGUUCAGUUAACUGUUUGGUUCAAGUCUGCAAUGCGAUGUUCAAUUGUUGUGGGUAUAAUUUUGAAUUGUUAUGCAUGUGAGGAAUAAAUCAAAUUUGGUUGUACUAAAUACAUGAGAAACAUAUACAAUUGCUAUAUUUCCAAGUUCUUAAUCAUGCUUGGUUUUGAUAAAUGGCUUUUCCAUGUGGCUCGAAUUAAUCUGUUGAAUUUGCAAUGUGUUUAUUUUUCAUCAACAUAUUUUACUGAUAGUAUGCCAACCCUGACUUAACCUGAUCAAUAUCUACCUUAUAUGUGUUGCAGGGAAAUAAUGGAAAGCACUGAGGUUUACAAUCGAGGUGUGCACAUGCAUGGUCCUUGUCUAAUAGCACAUUAUUGUGCAAUUGCAGGAACCAUUCUAAUAUUUAGGUUUUUAACAAUUUGGUCUUGCACAUGUAGGUCCUGCUGUCAGAGGUUUUGACCCACUGUUCGACCCAUUUUGCAUAUGGGGAAAUGAGUUGUCCAUGAAUAUCAGCCAAGUCAAGAAACUAAGAAAUAUUGUUAGGAUAAAGAAACUAGCGACAAGGAACAACAAGAUCUUUGUAUGCAAAAUGAAGAAGACAUCAUCGGACCACAGGAUGAUACUAACUAUUAUACCUUGUUUUUAUUCCUUUGCGCCAUUGACGAAUUUAGAGAAGAUAUUUAUGCAUAUCUUUGUUUUCACACUUUUCCAAAGCAGCUCACUGAUGAUUACCUCUCAAACCACCUGUGUGGUUAGGAGGCGAGGAAGGUAUUCAUACAACACCCGGGUACAAUAUUGAAGACUUUCUCAAGAGGACGAAUGAUGGACGGUCAAUCAUCCACAAGCACUGGCCUAAACUUGCAAGGAGCUUCAACAUCAAUGAAGGCUCAAUAUUCGCCUUCCGCUUCAGCAGUUUUCUAGAUGAGAUUCAUCUAUCUACCUACCAUCUCUGAUGCUAAUUUUCAAAGGUUAUAGAUGUUGCAUGUGAAACUUGGUGCUGGUGUAGUUGUGUAAUGGGGUAGCUAGCUAUAUGCCUAUAUGGUGUAACUACGUGCUGAAGCUAUAUGUACUCUGAUGUAUUUCAAUUAUGAAAUCCUGGUUCCGUAAUACGAAAAUCUAAUAUAUUAUGUGUUUAAUAUGAAAUGUCAAUUUGAUUAAUAAAUGGAUUGUUAAUAAUAGGCCAAUUAGCAUGCUAAUUGGAUUUUUUUCAAUUGCCAAUGGUUAUAGAGAAAACACCACGGGCGAUAACCUCAGACAACGCACACAGUUUCUAGCAAGAAAAUGUGUUGCAUCAAUGAACAAUCACACACGACUUCCUCUUGAAAGUUGUUUGCGUUAUGCCACCAUGCGCAAAAGUUUACCACAUAAAAGUGUGUGUGAUGAACGGCCUAUGCCACACAGUUUCUUCUACGCACCGUAUGUAAUUCAUUCAAUAACACAAACGGUAAAAUUGUUAAUAUCGCUUGCAAUGGCAACGCUAUAAAUGAUUUAAUGGGGAAAAUUGUGUGUGAUGUACCUAAAAACGGAAAUGUUUUCCCUGGAUUAACUGUGUGGGAUGUACAUACAAACGGAAAUAUACUUUUUGGAUUGACUAUGUGGGAUGUACAUACGAACGGAAACGUAUUCCUUCGAUUGACUGUGUGGAAUGUACAUACGAACGGAGUCGUUUGUCUAGGACUGACUGUGUGGGGUGUACUUAUGACUGGAAAUGAUUGGGCAUGUACAAUUGUAUUUUUAACACAACUAUAUGUAUAACCAUAUUUGAUCGCUCAUCUGUUACACACGAGCUCACUUUGCCCAGCGUGGGUGACCGGAGGUCCUAUCCCGAUGGUUUCUUGGUAGUGUGGGAAGGACCACGCUAUUGCCCACACUCACUAGGCGAUGGUUCCAAAUGCCAUCGCGGAAAUGGAUUAAAAACCUUUUGUAUAGCAUCUUGUUGUACCAGUGAUUAUUGAUGACCGUUCGAUUACUCUUGCAAAAUUUAUUUGUUCCACUAUUAUGUUCAAUUCUAAUUUCAAAUUUGUAUUGGUCAUUUCUAUGCCUAAUCUCCUUGCUGCCAAUUGUAUAAAGAAAUUGUAAGGCAUUUUAUUUGUGUUCAUGAAGACCAAACUAGCGUAUGCUAUUGAUCGCGUAUAUGGGACUUGGGUCAUGCUAGCCCGGCCCGAACCCAUCGUACUUUGGGCCACGGCAAACCGGGCCACCCCGACUAGGUAUACUUAUCAUGUCGUGCUGCCAUGCACUACUGAUAAGAUUCUAUCUAUAGGCUUUUCUCCUGGUAGUGAUGCCAAAGGGAGGCCCAAGCACGAUCCAAUAAACCAUUGUACAACCUUUGGGCCGGGCCAACCCAAGCACGACCAAGUAUAAUAAUUAUUAACUGCAACAUGCAUUUUUAUAUUUUUUUAAAUCACUAAUUAAGGCACAUUGUGAAGUAAAUAAAAUAUAUAUUUAUCUAAAAAGCCUUAAUUUUGUUACAUGAACAUAUUUGUAUCAUAUAGGUUCUACUAAUAAUCACAAGACACAUUUGUGAAGAUUUCAGACCCAAUCAGGCCAAGCCGGACCAAGCACAACCCACAUAAUCUUGUCAGGUUGUGCCACCCAUUUUCUCAAUUUCCAGACCCAGCCCGACGUGGUUUGUUGUGCCAUGUCAGCCCAAAGCCCAUUUUAUUUUUUGUUGUGUCUUACUUUCCAUAUCAGACGAGUUCCGGGCCAGCCCUAAAAAGCCUGGCCCAAAUAUGAGGUUCACACACAAAUGUGUGUAACCAAGCCACGAGUGCACAUGAUCGUCGAGGUGCGCCCUACAACAAGGCAAAGGCACCAAAUGAUGGUGAUUGUCAAAAUAUUUAUAUUUGGGAUGAUGCUUGGAUUUCAUACUAUGCUAAUAGGAAAGUUAGCACUCCAAAAGGCCGCCAUUUGUGUUGGCGAACACAGUAAUUUCAAAAAAAAUCCUACGCACACGCAAGAUUAUGGUGAUGCAUAGCAAUAAUAGGGAAGAGUGUUGUCCACGUACCCUCGUAGACGGUAAGCGAAAGUUUUAUGACAAUGCGGUUGAUAUAGUCGUACGUCUUCACGAUCGGCCGAUCCUAGCACCGAAGGUACGGCACCUCCGCGAUCUGCACACGUUCGGCUCGGUGACAUCCCACGAACUCACGAUCUAGUAGAGUGUCGAGGGAGAUCUUCGUCAGCAUGACGGCGUGAUGACGGUGAUGAUGGUGACACCGGAACAGCUCUUCGCCUAAGCACCGCUACAAUAUGACCAAGGUGGAUUAUGGUGGAGGGGGGCACCGCACACGGCUAAGAGAUCAAUGAUCAACUUGUGUGUAUAUGGGGUGCCUCUCUCCCCCGUAUAUAAAGGAGUGGAGGAGGGGGAGGGGUCGGCCUCCUAGGCGCGCCCUAAGGGGAGUCCUACUCCCACCGGGAGUAGGAUUCCCCCCCCCCUCCCUAGUUGGAUUAGAAGAGAAGGAAGGGGGGAAGGAGGAAGGAAAGGGGGGCCAGCCCCCCUCCCAAUUCAGAUUGGGAUUGGGGGCGUGCCCCCUCCUUUGCUCCCUUCUCCUCUCUCCCACUAUGGCCCAAUAAGGCCCAUAUACCUCACGGGGGGUUCCGGUAACCUCCCGGUACAUCGAUAAAUGCCCGAUCUCACCCGGAACCAUUCCGAUGUCCAAAUAUAGUCGUCCAAUAUGUCGAUCUUUAUGUCUCGACCAUUUAGAGACUCCUCGUUAUGUCCGUGAUCAUAUCCGGGACUCCAAAAUACAUUCGGUACAUCAAAACACAUAAACUCAUAAUACGAUCGUCACCGAACGUUAAGCGUGCGGACCCUACAGGUUCGAGAACUAUGUAGACAAGACUGAGACACGUCUCCGGUCAAUUGCCAAUAGCGGAAACUUGAUGCUCAUAUUGGUUCCUACAUAUUCUAUGAAGAUCUUUAUCGGUCAAACCGCAUAACGAUAUACGUUGUUCCCUUUGUCAUCGGUAUAUUACUUGCCCGAGAUUUGAUCGUCGGUAUCUCAAUACCUCGUUCAAUCUCAUUAACGGCGAGUCUCUUUACUAGUUCUAUAAUGCUACAUCCCGUAACUAACUCAUUAGCUACUUUGCUUGCAAGGCUUGUAGUGAUGUACAUUACCGAGAGGGCCCAGGGAUACCUCUCCGACAAUCGGAGUGACAAAUCAUAAUCUCGAUCUAUGCCAACUCAACAAACACCAUCGGAGACACCUGUAGAGCACCUUCAGAAUCGCCCAGUUACGUUGUGACGUUUGGUAGCACACAAAGUGUUCCUCCGUUAUUCGGGAGUUGCAUGAUCUCAUAGUAAUAGGAACAUGUAUAAGUUAUGGAGAAAGCAAUAGCAACAAAAUAAACGAUCAUCGUGCUAAGCUAACGGAUGGGUCAAGUCAAUCACAUCAUUCUCUAAUGAUGUGAUCCCGUUAAUCAAAUGACAACUCAUGUAUAUGGUUAGGAAACAUAACCAUCAUUGAUUCAACAAGCUAGUCAAGUAGAGGCAAACUAGUGACAAUCUGUUUGUCUAUGUAUUCAGACAUGUACUAAUGUCGGACUUCGGGUUCCGGCAAAACCCUUGAGGUUCUAACACUAAGGUGCACACAAAGAUCUCUCCUCCCUCUAACUCACGCCCUCACCGCAAUCUCAAGGCUUAUCACGUAGAACUCGUAGAACAAAGGGACACAAGAUUUAUACUGGUUCGGGCCACUGAUGUGGUGUAAUACCCUACUCCAGUGUGGUGUGGUGGAUUGCCUCUUGGGCUGAUGAAGAACAGUUACAAGGGAAGAAUAGCCUCCUGAGGAGAGGUGCUCUUGUGCUUGGUGAGUUUGUGUGGUGGUCUUGGUGGAAUGGAUCCGAUCCAAGAUGAGAUGAGCCUUUCAUCUCUCGAUGAGCCGAUCAGAUGAUCAGAUCCCUCCCUAUGAUGGUAGCUAGUCCUAUUUAUAGAGGCCCGGGUCCUCUCCCCAAAUAUUAGGCGGGAAGGGAUCCCACAACGGCCAGUUUGAAGGGGGGCAGCUAGUACAAGCUAUCUUGACAAAAGAUGGUCUUCGCCUGCCAAAGGCUCUGGUGAUGACGCCAUCUUGGGCUCCAUAGUGACCUUCGUCUUAUCGUCCAGCUGGUCUUGGUCUUGUUGCACCGAUAUGGAAACCUUUGCUUAACGCCUCGGGACUCCGGGCCUGCGCUUGCCUCUUUAGCACCAAAGAGGAAGCGAGGACACUUCAUGCGCUGGCGCCUGUCUGGCCCUGGUCGUCAUGGCUUGCGUCACAGGAACCUCGCGAGGUGUCCCCUGCCUUGAUCUCUCUGCCCCUCAUGAGCCAGCCUGCGGAGGCCACCCCCGAGGAGGUCUUGCAUCUUCCGCCUCGCGAGGCUUGGCCCCUCGCGAGGGUCUUGAGUGUUUGAUGGUGAAAUGGGCCAUACAAGGCCGCUGGUGGAGCCACGCCGUGGGCCACAGGCGGGCAAGUUUGGGGACCCCCGUUCCCAGGACACCGACAAUAGUCCCCGGGCCCAAGGCGCACUCGGACUUGGCUUUGAGGCGAAGCCAAGGGGCAAGUGUGGAGCGCUGUGGGCCCCAACAGCCUGCAGCCUCGGUUGACGCGUGGUAGUUGAUUGGACGUGGGUGUCUCCACUUCCCCAUGCUGCCUCGGCAACUGCCCAACUGACAAAAGACUGGCGCGGUUGUAUUGCCUUCAUUACGUUCCUUCGUUUUGCUCCAGAUCCCCUUUCUUGCCCUUCGCUUCCAAAGACUCCAGAUCCUCCUUCGAGCUUGCCGUCAAUGGCGCCCAAGAAAGCCCGGGCUACUCCUUCGCCAUCCUGGUAUGAGCCCGCGCUCGACGUGUCGAGCGUGUCGGAGAAGAACCUUGCCGCCAUGCGCUUGAUGACGGCGGAGGGUGACGAGAAGAGGAAGACUAUGCUCCGGGUCGGCUCCGCCGAGCCAGAGGCCCCUGGCAGCACUUUCUACCCCUUCUUCAUGAGUAGCAUCGUCGCCGGGUUGGUUCCCCCCUUCUCCAACUUCUUCUACUCCGUCCUCAGUCACUAUAAGAUCCAUGCCCUCCAUAUUCAUCCCAACUCCGUCCUUCUGUCGAUUUUCGCCUUCUACUGCGAGGUGUACAUUGGAGUGAUGCCGUCGGUGGCACUGUUGCGCCACUUCUUCUUUCUUUGGCUAAAGGAGGGCCCCUGCUCAGGGUGUGUUGGCUUCGUCGUGGCCAACAAGACAAAUGCCAUCUCGAAGGCCGGGAAGAAGGCCGAGGGCUUCAGGAGCAAGUGGGUCCUGAUGGACGCCAAGCGCGUCCACCCCUGGCUGGUGCUGCCGACGGAGAUGCAUGUGUCCCACGAGGGAUGGCUUCGCGUGAAGCUCACCGACUCGCGGAUGACGCAGGUGCUGGAGAGGAUGACUGCCGACUUGAAGCCCGGCGACUCAAUAACGGUGAAGCUGGCGGGGGCCAUGAUCACCAAAGAAUUCAUGGCGCAGCGUGUGGCCCCCCUCCAGUCGCGCCCGCACCCACUAUGGAAGCUUGGAGACGAAGGGGACGACCUCCGCCUGCGCCCGAGGCCCCUUUAAGGAAUUGCGCUCGACUCUUCGUUCCUUGGUCGAGGACGACCAAGGAUACCUGCAUGAUGUCCUUGUUCCCUUGUACCGCCGCCCGGAUGGGGCGAAGGUUGUCGCCGCUCUGCCUGUCUUCGACGAGCAUGGGCUCCUGCCGCCUGCGCCCACAAACAUUUCAGUGGCGACAACUCCGGUGGUCGUGUCUUCCGGCAAGUCUCACGAGGAGGGAGAGGAGGAGCACGACUCGGAGGCGACCCGCGAAGGGGAGGGGGAGACCUCCCCCUUGUGCAAGGCCGACAUCCUCCGCACCCUGCCUGAUGAUGACGAUGAGGCUAAUGUCCCCUUGGAAAGGGAGGAGUUGCAUACUGCAGGGGACUCCUCGAGGUCCAAGGUCAGUCCCCGGAGGAAGUCACUGGUCGGUAUUCUGACGAGAGGAAGGUCGGCGCUGGUCUCCCAAGACGACGCCCCUGUUCUGUCGCUGCCUGAAGCUGCUUCCAACUUGCCUGCUGCCCCCUCUUCUACGCCUAGAGCCCUUGCGUCUGCGCCUCUGGCUGGGAGGCUGUCAGGCUUCAAGCUCAGGAGGUAGAGGGACUACAGCGCGGUGGACCAGUAAGUAUCCUUGUCUUGCCUUGUUCCUGCUUCUGCUGCUGAUUCUUGACGCCUUCUGUUGCUUGACUAGGACGACGCCCGUGGGGAAGAGUAGGAAGGAGGACACGGCGAUACUGCUCAGGACCAAAUCGCCUACAGCAGUCGCUCCCUCCUCCGCAGGGAAGGACGGUGGCGGUGCUCGCGCUUCCCCGGCCCAAUCGUCUUACCAAAACUUGGGGGAGCGUCCUCUGGAGGAGGCAGCCCCCAUGGCCCCGCUGGCACCAAAGACACCGGCGUCCGGCUUAGCUGCUGAGGUCCCCAAAGCUCAGGAGCCCUCAGCCUCCCAGGCCAUCGUGAUGAUGUUGCCUCUUCCUUCCUCCGCCGCUCUGCUGUCCCUGGAUUCUUCCGCCUCCCCUGACAUCCUGGAACGCACUCUUUCUGCACUAACCUUGCUGUUGGACGAUCUUCAAGGCACCGACCAUCGCCUGGUGGCCGAGCACCUGGAGCUGAUCUCUGGCUGGCUCCACUCCGACGUGGUCAUUCGGGCGGUGCUGAGCCAGGCCGCUGUGGACUGCAAGAAGGACAAGCUGGCCUUCGCCCAAGCUACGGUUGCCCGCAAGGCGGCGCUGAAGGAUGCCGGAGCCGCCCAAGAUCGCUACCAGUUGCUGGAGGCCGAAUUGAAGACCUUGCGCAGUGAGCGUGCAGACGAAGCUCGGGGCCGCAGGGCGGAGGAGGAGAAUAUGAAGGCCUGGGAGGACGCCGUCAGGGGUCGCGACACCGAGCUAGAGCAGUUGGCAGAGGCGCAGGCUGCGGAGCGCAGCCGGCUGGAGAAGCUAGAGCAGAAGGUGGAGGCAGAGGAGGCCGAGCUGGAAGCCAAGGCACAUGUCCUGGCCGAAGACCACAUGGCCUUCAAGUCCCUCGAGAGGAGGUCUCGCGCGGCGCUGCGGUCACUCUACGAGAAGGGCUUGGAGGACCCGCUGGCUACCGACAACAAGGGCCCCACCCAGCUGCUCCCUUAUCUGGUCGAGGCGCUUGAGGAAGUCGUGAGCGGUAUCGGCCCCUUGGCAGAGGCAGAAGCCCGCGUCCUUUCCUCAGCCGCAUUAAUGCAUGUCUUCAGCCACCUCCAUCUUCGCGAUCCUGCCGCCCACCUCGACGAGCUGCUAGAGCCUCUGGACACCGAGCACUGCGCAGCUGCUGCCGAAGCCGUGAAGGGUCGGGUAGAGGCCCUGCUGAAGAGGUUCCACACCUUCGAUCCCGCGCCCUCAACUGGCGGUGCUGCUGAUCCUGCAACUCUAGCGGGUGGUGCAGGUGAGGGCGAUGCCGCUAUGGGAGAAGCGUCCCUUGCAGACGAUGGCGGCGUCCGGGGGUGACGAUAUGACCUGCUGGCAGCUCCUUUCCUGUUUAGCUCCUGCGAUAUGCACCAUGCCUCGUGGAGGCGUUUAAACUUGCGUUUGGUAUCGGAAGAAUAAUAUGUAAUAUUUGCUUGAAAUUUCGCGAUUUCCUUCCCAUUUGCUUUACGUUCUACGUCGGCAGGGCCUGACCCCGCGCAUACCUCAGCUGUCGUUGGGUCAUCCGGAUCUCCAGGACGAGACCAAGGGGUGUGGGGCUAUGUGGCCAGUUAGACUCCUGAGUCGCAAUGCUCAGGAGUCCCCCUUGACGCGCAAACAGCUUAUAGAAAGGAGAUGCGGGAGUAGGUCUAGUGUUCUACGUCGGUAGGGCCCGACCCCGCGCAUACCUCAGCCGCCAUCGGACCAUCCGGAUCACUAGGACGGACCAAUGAGUGAGGGGCUACGUGGCCAGUUAGGAUCCUGAGUCGCGAUGCUCAGGAGUCCCCCUUGACAUUCAAACGACCUUCAUACAUUGGCUCUGCUUGGGAGGGCGUGCGACGACCAGGUCCAAGGGACCUGGCAUGGUGGCAUACGCUUGGGUAUGACCCGAGCGUAGCCCCCGUGCCCAGCCCCCUCGCGCAACUCUCCCGAUGGGAGGUGUUGCGAUGAGGCCAAACACUGAGCUCGGAGGCUCCCUGAGGUUGAUACGCCCGUGAGGCCGCCCUCAGUUGUUUAUCACCAGCGCGGAGCAUAGUGCUUCCGCACUUGCAUGGGCAUAGCCGCUCCUCGGCAGUGUCGACUACCAGCGCGGAGCAUCGUGCUUCCACUAGUGCGUGGGUGAGGGCUCCCUCUGAGUGGAGCCCCCGGGGCGUGUACAGCCCCGCCCUGACACGUGGCAUGCAUGGCAGGGCUAGACGAGGUGUGUCUGGGCACUCGUGAACCAACGCAGGACUCACGAGGCCCUACCUCAAGGCGGGUUGCGCCUGGUCUUGGUUUUUGAUGACUGCGAUGGUCCUGCGAGAUGGUUAGGCAACCUACGCCGAAUGAAUCUCCUGAAGUUAUCGCACGAGAAGGACAAGCACCAACGACCCCAGGAGGUGACAUGAACGGGACCGGCCCGCCAGACAAAGCUCAGCCGUUGGAUUUAUCGACGCUGCAGGGACGGACCCGAGCAUAGACGCCGUGCCUAGCCUUCUUAUGUGAAGGAUCCUGAAGAAAGACGAUCGGCGCACGGCUCCCGUGGUGGGUGGCAAUCAAGCAGGUAAAUGACCAUAGAUAGCUUAUGCAUGGAAAGCAAACUAGCUUAGCUAAAUGCAAGAACGAUACAUGCCACUGGGUCGGACCCGAGCGGCCUGGGGAUGAUGCAGCCCGAGGGGCGCCCCCAGCAGGGUAAGCUAAAGAUGCAAGAGGAUACACGCCGCAGGGAUAGGCCCGUGCGACCUGGGAAUAAUGCAGCCCGAGGGGCGCUCCCAGCUGAAUGAACUUCAAAAAUAUCACCUGGUUUUGUUGUCGAAGGAGCGUUGGGGUAGCUGAAGGCGCGCGCUGAAGAAGUCGCUCCUCAUGAGUCGUCGAGACCCCGAGCCUCGGGAGGCUUUGGGGGCUCAGGUGGCCUCCUAAGGACCGUCUCCAUCUCCGCCAGGACCGCGUGAUGCCUGGCCUCCUGGGUCACCAGGAUGCUCCAUAGAUUGCGCUGGAAGGCGGCUGCCACACUCGGCAGGCCAAACGGCAUGCGAACGUAGCUGUGAGGUGGGCCCUCACACCGGACAGCACGCGAAGGCCAGAAGCGCUCUUGAGAUGCGGCCCUGUUGAGCCCUGGGAUGUCGAUGCAGACGCACAGCUCGCCACCCUCGCCCGGGUGGGGAGCUACACCAGGUGGGCGGCGGUCGCCGCGUAUCACCCUUGCUUCCUGAAGCUCUUGGGUGGCCUUGAUGAUGAACUCCUGAGCGUCGGGCGCUCCUCGCCCGGUGCCCUCCUGAGAGAAACGUAUCGCGAAGCAUGCCUUCAUGUGGUGCCUGAGCGCCUCCCUCGUGAUGUUGGUCAGGUCUGAGGCCCUCUAGGAGAGAGCCCCGAGCCCUGCCCGAGGAGGGCGCCAGGUGCGCCUUCCUAUGCGAGGGAGGGAGGCGCCCCAGGUGCGGGCGCCGAUCCUGAGGUGGCACCGCUAGAGGCGCCGCUCCCCUGAGGCCCUGUGCGGAGUAGCUACUUCUUCUUCUUGGGGAUGGCCUCAGGAGGGUACUGCGCGCCCUCGCUGUCAGGGUCUUCGAUUCCUGUGGCUUGGAAGGCGCGCUCGAGGGAGCACACCGCAUCUCUUUCUUCGCAGGGGACUAUGAUGAUUCCACCGCUUCCCGUCACCUUGAGGACAUUGUAGCCAUGGUGGGUCACUGCCAUGAAUUUGGCUAACGCUGGGUACCCGAGGAUGGCAUUGUACGGCAGACGGAUGUGGGCGACGUCGAAGUCAACGAGCUCGGUGUGGUAGUUCUCGUGCUGACCGAAGGUGAUAGGGAGACGAACUUGCCCUAUCGGGAUGGUGGAGCCGUCGGUCACUCCUGAGAAAGGCUUGGUGGGCUGAAGCUGAUCGUAUGGCACUUGAAGGCUGUCGAACAUCUCGACGGAUAGGACACUGAGCCCCGUGCCACCGUCGAUGAGGGUCUUGGUGACUUGGAUAUUGCUGAUGACGGGUGAGCAGAGCAUAGGGAGGACGCCGGCGGUCGCCACGCAUUUGAGCUGGUCCGCCGAGCUGAAGGUGAUGGCGUACUUGGACCAUCUGAGCAGGCACGUGGCCUCGAGCUUAUGGAGGGCUGCAUUCACCUCGCAAGAGAACUGCUUGAAGAUGCACUGGGAAGCCGGGGCCUGAGCACCACCCAGGAUGCAAGCGAUGGCGCGCGGCUCCUGGAAGCCCCCAGCCCCUCGUCCUGAUGGUGGUCGUCGUUCCUCCUUGGUGGUGGCGGCAGCGGAGGGAGACCAUGAUUGCCCCGAGGACGGUCCUUGCGAGGCUGGUCCCUCUAGGUGCCUUCACGAGGCUGGUCGCGCCACUUCUGGCGGGGGCCGCGGUCAUCCCAGCGUCCUCCGCCUCAUUCUUCUCCUCGGCCGUAGCCCCGGUCGUUGCGCUCGGGGAGUCGACCGAAGCAUCCAUCUCAAAUGGCCCUGAGCUCUUGACAAUCAUUGGUGUUGUGACUGCGCACGCUGUGGAAGGCGUGGAACGGACGGCCACCCUUGGACAACUCGGGAAGGUCCCGGCCGCGCUUCGUGUCCGGCUCUGCCGCGAGUACGACUACUCCCUUGCGCUUCACGUCCUUGACAUUGGUCUUCUUCUCCUCUAGGUCUGCAGCAGGGAGCUCGAGGAGGGAGAGACGCCCUUCCUCAGCUCUCGCGCACUUGCUUGCUAUGUUGAACAGCUUCAGAGUAGUGCAUAGCUCCUCGUGGAUGGCGAGCUCCUCCUUCAUCUUAAUGUCGUGGACGCCAUCGGAAAAUGCUAAGAUGAUGGCCUUGUCUAUCACCUUGGGGAUCUUGAGAUGCAUGUUGUUGAAGCGCUGGAUGUGCUUCUGCAGGGUCUCUCCCGGCUGUUGCUUGAUGCGGCGCAGGUCACCCGCGGCCGGAGGGCGGUCGCGAGUGCCCUGGGAGUUGGCGAUGAAGCGGUCACGCAUCUCACCCCAGGAGGAGAUCGGGCCUGGAGGUAGGUUCAGGAGCCACGAGCGAGCGCCAUCCUUGAGAGCCAUGGGAAACCAGUUCGCCAUGACUUUCUUGUCGCCGUUGGCCGCCUCGAUGCUCAGCUCGUAGAGCUGCAGCAACUCUGUGGGGUCAGGGGUGUCGUCGUAGCGAGGAGGCAGAUCCGGCUUGAACUUGCCUGGCCAGACGACGCUACGCAGCUCAAGAGCGAAGGCGCGGCAGCUUGCCGUGGCCACCAGGGCCCUUUGCUGAUGCGGGGCCUGGACUGGAUGUCCGCGCACCGCCGCCGCAGGUGGCACAUGGUCUUGUCGUGGUGGUGCUGGGAGCGCUGGAGCGUUUUCUUGCAGCCGGGGAACCUCUUGGUAGCUUCCUUCUUCGUGCGCAGGCACACGGCAUGGUGGAUCACACCGCGGGGCCGCGCGUCUUGGGGCGAGGACACCGUCUUGACGCGGAGGAGGCGGUGGUGCUCCGUGAGCUACGCUUCUCGGUGCAAGGGCGCCGUCUUGGUACGGAGGCGGCGGAGGCGCUCCGUGAGCUACAUCGCUCGUGGCUGGAGGUGGGUGAGGCAUCGAGAGGGAUGGUGCAGGGGAGCCCCCAGCGGCGCUGACGAGUUCGGUGAUAUGGUCCAACCCGUCCUCGUAGAGGUCAUCGACCACGCGGUAACACAGGAACUCGCGUGCCAUGAGCAGCGCAGCCUGCGCGUCCGUGGGUGUGCGGCGGGCGUGAGAUGAUGAGCUGGCCAGGGUCAGCAAUGGUGUGGCGGUGCUGCCGUCCCGCCGCACGGAGGGGUGCAGUGACGAUGCCUGCUGCUCGUUUGCUACCGGGCGAGUAGCGGCGUUGGCAACAGGAAACAGGGAACGACAGGGAGGCCUGCCAACAGGGGCUGUCUGAGCGACACGGGCGGCGAGGGCGGCCCGGCGCUCGGUGCGGGCUCGACGUGCGUCCGACAUGGAUACGGUGGAGCGGUGGGGCGCAGAUCAGCGGGAGGAAAGCUUCAGCACACCCCUACCUGGCGCGCCAAAUGUCGGAUUUCGGGUUCCAGCAAAACCCUUGAGGUUCGAACACUGGGGUGCACAUGAAGAUCUCUCCUCCCUCUAACUCACGCCCUCACCGCAAUCUCAAGGCUUAGCACAUAGAACGGACACAAGAUUUAUACUGGUUCGGGCCACCGAUGUGGUGUAAUACCCUACUCCAGUGUGGUGUGGUGGAUUGCCUCUUGGGCUGAUGAAGAACAGUUACAAGGGAAGAACAGCCUCCUGAGGAGAGGUGCUCUUCUGCUUGGUGAUUUUGUGUGGUGGUCUUGGUGGAAUGGAUCCGGUCCAAGAUGAGAUGAUCCUUUCGUCUCUCGAUGAGCCGAUCAGAUGAUCAGAUCCCUCCCUACGAUGGUGGCUAGUCCUAUUUAUAGAGGCCCGGGUCCUCUCCCCAAAUAUUAGGCGGGAAAGGAUCCCACAACGGCCAGUUUGAAGGGGGACAACUAGUACAAGCUAUCUUGACAAAAGAUGGUCUUCGCCUGCCAAAGGAUCUGGUGAUGACGCCGUCUUGGCUCCACGGUGACCUCCGUCCUGCCAUCCUGCUGGUCUUGGUCUUGUUGCACCGAUAUGGAAACCUUUGCUUGAUGCCUCGGGACUCCGCGCUUGCGCUUGCCUCUUUAGCACCAAAGAGGAAGCGAGGACACUGCGCGCACUGGCGCCCGCCUGGCACUGGUCGUCAUGGCUUGCGUCACAGGAACCUCGCGACGUGUCCCUUGCCUUGAUCUCUCCGCCCCUCGUGAGCUAGCCUGGUGAGGCCGCCCCCGAGGAGGUCUUGCGUCGUUCGCCUCGCGAGGGUCUUAAGUGUUUGCUGGUGAAGAUGGGUCGUACAGGGCCGCUGGUGGAGCCACGCCGUGGGCCGCAUGCAGGCAAGUCUGGGGACCCCCGUUCCCAGGAUGCCGACAACUAAGUUUCUGGUUAAUACAAUUCUAGCAUGAAUAAUAAACAUUUAUCAUGAUAUAAGGAAAUAUAAAUAACAACUUUAUUAUUGCCUCUAGGGCAUAUUUCCUUCAGUCUCCCACUUGCACUAGAGUCAAUAAUCUAGAUGUGACGCCCCGAGACCGAUGUGCCAGGUGACUUCCAGUUAUUCAUUGUUGUUGCCAUGUCAUUUGCUUGCGUGUUGCAUUUCAUCAUGUCAUCAUGUGCAUUGCAUCAUCAUGUUUUCAAAACCUGCAUCCGUCCGGGUUCCCCCAGUUCCGUCCGUUGUCCGUUCUGAGCCCAACCUCACUCGCACGCGCCCGCGGCACGUCCGGAUUAUUAUUUUAUAAGUGGCCAGAAAAUGUUCUCGGAUUGGGUUGAAAGUUGGCGUGUGGUCUUUUUAUUGUGUAGAUAGACCGCCUGUCAAAUUUCAUUGCAUUCGGAGUUCGUUUGAUAGCCCAACCAUUAAACUAUAGCGGCAUUAUAGCCGGUCUAACGUCGGACGUUUUCGGUCUCCGGAAACAAUCGCCGGGCCUCUCUAUCUUCUCUUCUCUUAGCUCGAGCCCUUAUGCACAUCCCACAAGUUCCAAUAGACCUCUCGCAUGCGUGUCCGAAAUUGUCCCGGACCCGACCCAGACAGUUGUCACCGUUGGAUCCGGAUCAUCCCCAAACAUCUACAAAACAUCUCUGUUUUGUUAUUUGGAUUCCCUAACCAAUUUAUUCUCGACCGCCCGAUUACGAUCGGACGGACCGAAUGCCCCCCUAACCUAAUCCAACAACAUAUAUAUAGAAAGCAACCCUAGUUUUGAGGAGAGUUAUCCCAUCCAUCCACUUCUUCCGCCGCCACCCUCUCUCUAAUUCCUCCUCGGAGUCCACAUCGAGCCAACCACACAACACCAGCCAGAUCCAAAAAUUUCACCCACUUCCCUCCUGUCUCCUCGCUGGUUGGAGCCUCCGAAGCCGCAGCUCCUGCCAGCGGAGCCCCUCGUCCCCGUGCCCCUGGUUCGCUCGAUCCAAAGGAGAGGAGCACGCCAUCUUCAUGCUCCUCCCUGCUCCCUCGCUCUCGUUUGGAUCGAGGGGAGGAGCCCCUCGACCUCGACCCUCUGACCCGCCAAGUCGUUUGAGUCCGCCGUGGCGUCCCAUUUCCGCCAGAGUUGCUCCGUUCCUCGCACGAACCAGCAGGUCGUCCUCACUGCCCUGCCCUUUUUUCUCUCCUUCCCUGAAGCUCUCUCUGUGUCCCUGACCUCUCUUCCUCUCUUGGAGCAGUAGCAGCAGAAGCUUCCGCCGCCGCGCCGUGUUGUCGUUCCUCUGCUUCGUUGCCGUCCAGAAACGCCCCAAGUCCACCACCACCGCCCUGCUUGCCUCCUCUACUUCGGGCCAUGUCUAGCACCACGUCGACUCCUGCAUCGCCCUAAUGUCGCGUCAUUAGCCGCCGCUGUCGUGGUCUUCCCCUUCGCCAAGUCCCAGCACCCGCGGCCCUCCGCCUCUCGCCUUCCUGGAUCUGCUGCGCCAUCGCGUUCCCCGUCGCCGUCGACCUCCAUGCCCCGCCACCGGCCUCUGCGUUUUCUGCAUCAAGCAGGAGCUCGAACCGCUGCCCUGUUCGUCUCGAUUCAACGAGACCGGGCCGGCCUACUCGUGACCGCGUGGGUCGCUUCCUGCAGCGAGGCCCAGCGCGCCCCUCUCCUCGCCGUUGUGGGCCGAAGCCCAUAGGUGAGGCCACACCCCAGCGUUUCCCCUUUUGUUUUUUUACCUGUUGGGUCGGCCUGCCAGUUUUGGCCUGAAUAGGUUUUUUUUGGCUCUGCAUAUUUCUGUUUAUUCCCUGAGUGUGCAGUUUUUCAGAAAGGUCCCUAAACUUCAUGCAUAUAAUAACUUAAUAACUGUGCAUCGGAUUAAAACAAACUUAAUAUGAAAGUUGCUUAGAAUUUUGUCUAGUUUAAUAAUAUCCAACUUUCAUCUAUGUUUAAAAUGUUUAAAAUGUUGUUUGGUUAAAUUUGCUCCUAUGCCAUGUUAAAAUGUUUUAAUUCAUAACUAUUUAACCGUAACUCGGUUUGUAGCAAACUUUAUAUGUAAAUGGGGUGGAAAAUGCCUAGUUUAACAUGGUGGCACCACUUUGCAUGUUUAACAACUCUAAAAUUGUGUUUAGGGCAGAACAAUACCAAACCUAAUAUGUGCAUAUGGGGAUUUACCGGAAUUGUUGUUCGUUGCUUCCCGCCUCAUUUAAACUUGACUAGAUAGGUAGUUUUACUUUGCUUCACCCUCUUGCCAUGCUAACCAACAUUUAAUAUUGUUGAGUACCUAACCGAGAGAGAACUAAAUAAUUGAUGUGGUGUUCCGUCAAUAUGCAACCCGUUGCAUAUUGAGCUCCACUUAAUUUGUAGUUUUGGUUGUUGCACUUUGCCAUGUCAUGCAUAUUUAAACCGGACAUGCAUCAUACUUGGUUGUGCAUCAUGCCAUGUUUAUGUGAUGGUUGUUUACCAUGUUGUUUGCUUCUUUCCGGUGUUGCUUCUUCAGGUUAGUUCCGUUAACGCCGCGUUUGUGAGGAUCCGUUCGACUACGUCCAUUUGUCUUCUUCAUGGACUCAUUCUUCUUCCUUGCGGGAUCUCAGGCAAGAUGACCAUACCCUCGAAAUCACUUCUAUCUUUGCUUGCUAGAUGCUCGCUCUUUUGCUAUGCCUAUGCUGCGAUACCUACCACUUGCUUUAUCAUGCCUCCCAUAUUGCCAUGUCAAACCUCUAACCCACCUUGUCCUAGCAAACCGUUGUUUGACUAUGUUACCGCUUUGCUCAGCCCCUCUUAUAGCGUUGUUAGUUGCAGGUGAAGAUUGGAGCUUGUUCCAUGUUUGGAACAUGAAUAUUUGUUGGGAUAUCAUAAUAUCUCUUAUUUAAUUAAUGCAUCUAUAUACUUGGUAAAGGGUGGAAGGCUCGGCCUUAUGCCCGGUGUUUUGUUCCACUCUUGCCGCCCUAGUUUCUGUCAUAUCGGUGUUAUGUUCCUUGAUUUUGCGUUGCUUACACGGUUGGGUUAUAAUGGGAACCCCUUGACAGUUCGCCUUGAAUAAAACUCCUCCAGCAAGGCCCAACAUUGGUUUUACCAUUCGCCACCUAGCCUUUUCUUUCCCUUGGGUCGGCCGGCUCAAGGGUCAUCUUUAUUUUACCCCCCCCCCCGGGCCAGUGCUUCUCUAAGUGUUGGUCCAACUGAGCGAUGUCCGGGGCUACCAGGGGCAACUCUGGGCUGGCCUACCCGACGUCUUGCUCAUCCAGUGUGCCCUGAGAACGAGAUAUGUGCAGCUCCUAUUGGGAUUUGUCGGCACAUCUGGGUGGCUUUGCUGGUCUUGUUUUACCAUUGUCGAAAUGUCUUGUAACCGGGAUGCCGAGUCUGAUCGGAUUGCCUUGGGAGAAGGAAUAUCCUUCGUUGACCAUGAGAUCUUGUGAUGGGCUAAGUUGGGACACCCCUGCAGGGAUUUUAACUUUUGAAAGCCGUGCCCGCGGUUAUGGGCAGAUGGGAAUUUGCUAAUGUCUAGUUGUAGAAAACUUGACAGCUUAACUUAAGUAAAAUGCAUCAACCGUGUGUGUAGUCGUGAUGGUCUCUUUCUGGCAGAGUCCGGGAAGUGAACACGGCGUUGGAGUUAUGCUUGACGUAGGUUGUUCUAGGAUCACUUCUUGAUCAUAGAUUCUCGAUCGUGCUUUUGCCUUCUCUUCUCGCUCUCAUUUGCGUAUGUUAGCCACCAUAUAUGCUAGUGCUUGCUGCAGCUCCACCUCAUACCUUUUCCCUACCCAUAAGCUUAAAUAGUCUUGAUCGCGAGGGUGUGAGAUUGUUGAGUCCCCGUGACUCACAGAUUCUUCCAAAACCAGUUUGCAGGUGCCGAUGAAACCGUGCAGGUGACGCAACUAAGCUCAAGGAGGAGCUCGAUGCAGAUCGUGUUCGUUAUGUUGUUCCAUUUCCAGUUGAUCAGUAGUGGAGCCCAGUUUGGACGAUCGGGGAUCUGUGUAGCAUUUGGGGUAGUCUUCUUUUAUUUUGGUUCCGUAGUUGGACCUUGAUUGUAUCUGGAUGAUGUAAUGCUUUAUUCAUGUAUUGUGUGAAGUGGCGAUUGUAAGCCAACUAUGUAUCCCUUUCCUUAUUCAUUACAUGGGUUGUGCGAAGAUUACCUCUCUUGCGACAUUGCCUUCAAUGCGGUUAUGCCUCUAAGUCGUGCUUCGACACGUGGGAGAUAUAGCCGCAUCGAGGGUGUUACAAGUUGGUAAUCAGAGCCUUCCCCGACCUUAGGAGCCCCCUGCUUGAUCAAAUCGUUGGCGUUGUUGAAUCUAGAAAAAUGUUCUGAGUCAUUUAGGAUUAUAUAUAUCGGAGAGUUAGGAAUUCUUUUUACUCCCCAGUCCCUUUGUCGCUCUGGUGAGGCAUCCUGACGUAGAAUUUUGACUCUUCUCUUCUCAAAUUUCACUAAAAAAAUUAGGAUCACACGGGUAUCUUGGAAUCGUUCCGAUGGUUUUGUGACGAGAACAUUGUUCUUGGUGCCUCCUGACAUUUAGGGGUUGUGGCAGCGUCCCGGGGAGUUGAGCUCCGAGGUGUUGUCGUCACAAUUUUAUCGUUGCAAUUCUGGAAUACCUGAGUUUCGCCGACAUCGAAAAUCUCUUUUAUGCAGUUGUUGGUGAGAUAACCUCAAUGCCACCCAGUACUGGGGCGGGAGUUCGGUAGUAUUGCCAUAACUUGUAUAACGGAUGCUUUUCGAAGGUUGAGGUAAACGAUUUCCGAAGGUUUCUUGAUUAUGUGUUGAAGGAUGGAUACAGCUGGAUGUAGGAUUUGCUAGUUUUGGGUGAGAUAUUAUGCUUCCCGUGUAUCCCCAACACUUGAUUGCAUAACCGGAAAGUUUUCGGAGUUUAUAAGUGGGAAUUCAAGUAGCUCUUAGGAUAUCUUUCCGACAGAUGUAUGAUAUGAAAUUGGGGUUCGACGUCUAGUGGUCCGCCUAUCCACGGUUGGUUUUACAGUGAUCUCGUUGUGUCUUAAAGAGUCCUUGGCUAUGCUGACUCGGGGACGCUUCGUAUGUCAUGUGCACUGCCUUGUACAUGAUGGUGCUGUAUGAUCGAGCCCAUGUAGGCCCCACCACAAAAACUUCGAACGAAAUCUCUGUCAUAUGUUUGUUCCGGCUUAUUCUGCAAUCCAAUCCUUGUUUUUGUUUUCAGUUGUGGUAUUCGAGUUGCUUCAAUGUCAAAUGUUGAUUCCAUACCUUUCCUAAGUGGUGUUCUCAUAUUUCUAUGUGAAUACUAAUCCUUCUCGAUCAUCGAGUUUGUCAUACCAAUUCUAUUUCCAAUAGGCGUGCUUCUCUUUGAGAUGAUCCCACCUUUCUCCCCAUCCGUAAGAUCAAUUAUCAGUUCUUCUCAACGGUGUUUGUUGUAUCCGUCCCAACUUGGCUUUGUUUUCCCCUCCCUCCCACCCUUUUUCUUCGAGGACUAAGAUUUAUUAAUCAAGUAUCCAUCUUAUUGAUGUGAGGCCUCUUCAUUCCUUUUCCGUCAAUGUUCUUAUCCGGCGAUUCUCAUGAAGAUUCUAAUGGAGCUUCAAGCUCAUCAUUCUCGGAUUUUUUUCUUCUCCGGUGGAUUCAAUUCAAGCAUUCGGUGUUGAUCAUAUAUUUUUCCCCGUUUCAAAUGCUUUCCCAUGUCGUUGCACCUCUUAAUCGUUCAUCUCUCUCUAUCCAUAUCCGAAGUGCUGAAGAUAUCUCGAAGAUUCGUGCUUCCACUCUGCUUUCGCUCAAGCUCUUUCGAGGAUGUUAUCUUAUUCAAGUCAUUUAACUCAACCGGCACAAAUCUUCCUUUUAAAUUGUUCAACGGUGUUUCUUUUGAGUGGGCCCUAAACCACAGGUCUUUUCCCAGGAUCUUACCUGACUCUUCUUAUUUUCCCGGAGCUAUCCUCAAAUUUCUUUUCCAAGUUUGACGUAAGAAUGAAUUAUCAUCAAGCAAAUGUCUUUCUCUAAGAUCUUUCAAAGUAUUUUCAUCGUCGGUUCAACCUUUUCUAAUUUCCAUCCCAAAGUAUCUCAACAAUUCAUGGUGGUGUUUCUCAUCGGUAUUCUCAACAUUUAAAGACCAAAGAAGAUUUUUUUUUCUCUCAAUCUUGCUAUUUUCUCUUCAAGAUUCGUGGUGCUAGCUUGAUGCCAUCCUCUCAUAAUUAUUUUCGAUUGUGAGAAUUCUUUUCACCCAUCCGGAGCAUUUCAAGAGUCUUUCAGUUUGAUUCUCCGAAGGUCAUCAUUUCGAGAUCAUUCAUAUUCAGCUUUCAGCUCUCGUUCUCCAAAUCUUACCAGUGCAUCGUUCAAGUGAUCUCUAAUCAGCUCAUGUUCUCUUCGUUCUCUGGUAUCUAAAUUCUGUUAAGUAUCUUCUUUCAUUUUCCAAUUCUUCCUGGUGUUUCUUUAUCUUUUCUUCAUUCAUUUUCAAUUCUUACGGUGGUUUGUUCAAGAUUCCUCUUCUUAUGUUAUCAUAUCAAUUCUUUCGUUCUUUCAAAUCCUACCGGUGGAUCGUUAAAGACUUUCUCAAGUUUGAUUUAUAUCUCUCUUAAUCCUUUCAACCGGAAUAAGUAGUAUGCCAAAUCCGUUGCUUGUCAUCAAUCUAAAUUGGUGAAGGAUGCCCAUAACGUAAUUCUUAUUCUUUGUUUCACCCAAGUGAUUUAAUUUCCUGCUUUCCGGAGUGGUUCAUCAUAUCACGUUCUCGGUUCGAGAUGCUUUAUCUUUUUUCCCAGAGUUCCAAGCUCUCGCAAUUAUAUCACCAUGGAGAUUCAUCUAAAUCAUCGCAAGGCUUCACCUUGUGUUUUAAACUUCUCUUUCAUUUCGAUUGAUCAUCCUUUUGUUUACUGGAGUUCUUCAUGGAGGCUCUACAUGAUGGUUCAUCAAGGAAAUAAUUCCUUCUCCAAGUGUUCAUUGAGAUUCUUUUCUAAGGAGCUCAAGCAUUUCUUCAUCUCGCAUUCCGAAGUGCAAUCCUUUCUACCGUAUCAUCGGAGGUGGUAUUAUGUCAUUCUUGAUAAUUAUCUUUCGUGUUUCAUGACUCACAUGUUGUCAAGAAUGAGAUAUUUUAAAUCCAUCAAUCUCGUCAUUGGAGUUAUCUUGGGUUAUAUUUCACCUAAAGCCUUCCCUAAGGAUUGUUGCUAUUUAUGGGGUUCAUAAAUGACCCGAGUUCUUCAUCUAUCCUCCCGGUGAAAUAAGUUUCUCGUCUUCUUGUUCAUAUCAAUCUAAUCUAUUGUUUCCAUUAGUGGCAGAAUUUCACAAAUGAUUUUGAGAUGUUUUCUAUAAGCCCACAACAAGCUUACUCUUUUCGUUGUUGGUUUUUUUCCAACAACUCUGUUCGACCCUUCUCCUAAGGAUGCCUUUUCAAGCUCUUUUGUGGUAGAAGUUGGCAUUUUCUUCUCCAUUCCUUUAUUUCAAGUAUCUAUCUUCUAUUUCUUCCGUCCGGAUGCAUUGUGAUGUUGCUCUCUUCAACCCUUCUUCUUAUUUUUCUUUGUCAGGACCUUUCUCUUUUCAUGCUUAUGCAUUUAACCGGAGUGUUGUGUCCUCUGCUCAAGUUCUUUUCAUCUUAUCAAGUUGUUUAUCACUUGUAAACCGGAGUGCUGUCUGAAUUUCUUCUUCCUUGUUCCUCUUUUCUAACGGAGCAUUUUCGACUUUGUUCACCUUCGUUGUAUUCUUUUCUCGAAUUUGUUCGACCUCGCAAGGUUCAUUGGUUUCACUCGUUGUCAAAGAAGCAAUUAGUUUUACCUCUCCUCUUUCUCUUUCGUUUCUCUCCGGUGCCAUUCUAGAUCUCGGGACGAGAUCCUCUCGUAGUGGUGGAGUGUUGUGACGCCCCGAGACCGAUGUGCCAGGUGUCUUCUAGUUAUUCGCUGUUGUUUCCAUGUCAUUUGCUUGCGUGUUGCAUUUCAUCAUGUCAUCAUGUGCAUUGCAUCAUCAUGUUUUCAAAACCUGCAUCUGUCCGGGUUCCCCCAGUUCCGUCCGUUGUCCGUUCUGAGCCCAACCUCACUCGGACGCGCCCGCGGCACGUCCGAAUUAUUAUUUUAUAAGUGGCCGGAAAAUGUUCUCGUAUUGGGUUGAAAGUUGGCAUGUGGUCUUUUUAUAGUGUAGAUAGACCGCCUGUCAAGUUUCAUUGCAUUCGGAGUUCGUUUGAUAGCCCAACCUUUAAACUAUAGCGGCAUUAUAGCCGGUCUAACAUCGGACGUUUUCGGUCUCCAGAAACAGUCGUCGGGCCUCUCUCUCUUCUCUUCUCUCAGCUCGAGCCCUUCUGCACAGCCCACAAGUUCCAAUAGACCUCUCGCAUGCGUGUCCGAAAUUGUCCCGGACUCGACCCGGACAGUUGUCACCGUUGGAUUCGGAUCAUCCCCAAACAUAUACAAAACGUCUCUGUUUUGUUAUUUGGACUCCCUAACAAAUUUAUUCUCGACCGCCCGAUUACGAUCGGACGGACCGAAUGCCCCCCUAACCUAAUGCAACAACAUAUAGAAAGCAACCCUAAUUUUGAGGAGAGUUGUCCCAUCCAACCACUUCUUCCGCCGCCACCCUCUCUCUAAAUCCUCCUCGGAGUCCACAUCGAGCCAACCACACAACACCAGCCAGAUCCAAAAAUUUCACCCACUUCCCUCCUGUCUCCUCGCUGGUUGGAGCCUCCGAAGCCGCAGCUCCUGCCCGCGGAGCCCCUCGUCCCCGUGCCCCUGGUUCGCUCGAUCCAGAGGAGAGGAGCACGCCAUCGUCAUGCUCCUCCCUGCUCCCUCGCUCUCAUUUGGAUCGAGGGGAGGAGCCCCUCGACCUCGACCCUCUGCCCCGCCAAGUCAUUGGAGUCCGCCGUGGCGUCCGAUUUCCGCCGGAUUUGCUCCGUUCCUCGCACGAACCAGCAGGCCGUCCUCACCGCCCUGCCCUUUUUUCUCUCCUUCGCUGAACCUCUCUCUGCCUCCCUGGCCUCUCUUCCUCUCUUGGAGCAGUAGCAGCAGAAGCUUCCGCCGCCGCGCCGUGUUGUCGUUCCUCUGCUUCGUUGCCGUCCAGAAACGCCCCAAGUCCACCACCACCGCCCUGCUUGCCUCCUCUACUUCGGGCCAUGUCUAGCACCAUGUCGACUCCUGCAUCGCCCUAAUGUCGCGUCAUUAGCCGCCGCUGUCGUGGUCUUCCCCUUCGCCAAGUCCCAGCACCCGCGGCCCUCCGCCUCUCGCCUUCCUGGAUCUGCUGCGCCAUCGCGUUCCCCGUCGCCGUCGACCUCCAUGCCCCGCCACCGGCCUCUGCGUUUUCUGCAUCAAGCAGGAGCUCGAACCGCUGCCCUGUUCGUCUCGAUUCAACGAGACCGGGCCGGCCCCCUCGUCAUCGCGUGGGUCGCUUCCUGCAGCGAGGCCCAGCGCGCCCCUCUCCUCGCCGUUGUGGGCCGAAGCCCAUGGGUGAGGCCACACCCCAGCGUUUCCCCUUUUGUUUUUUUACCUGUUGGGCCAGCCUACUAGUUUUGGCCCGAAUAGGUUAUUUUUUGGCUCUGCAUAUUUCUGUUUAUUCCCUGAGUGUGCAGUUUUUCAGAAAGGUCCCUAAACUUCAUGCAUAUAAUAACUUAAUAACCGUGCAUCGGAUUAAAACAAACUUAAUAUGAAAAUUGCUUAGAAUUUUGUCUAGUUUAAUAAUAUCCAACUUUCAUCUAUGUUUAAAAUGUUUAAAAUGUUCUUUGGUUAAAUUUGCUCCUAUGCCAUGUUAAAAUGUUUUAAUUCAUAACUAUUUAACCGUAACUCGGUUUGUAGCAAACUCUAUAUGUAAAUGGGGUGGAAAAUGCCUAGUUUAACAUGGUGGCACCACUUUGCAUGUUUAACAACUCUAAAAUUGUGUUCAGGGCAGAACAAUACCAAACCUAAUAUGUGCAUAUGGGGAUUUACCGGAAUUGUUGUUCGUUGCUUCCCGCCUCAUUUAAACUUGGCUAGAUAGGUAGUUUUACUUUGCUUCACCCUCUUGCCAUGCUAACCAACAUUUAAUAUUGUUGAGUACCUAACCGAGAGAGAACUAAAUAAUUGAUGUGGUGUUCCGUCAAUAUGCAACCCGUUGCAUAUUGAGCUCCACUUAAUUUGUAGUUUUGGUUGUUGCACUUUGCCAUGUCAUGCAUAUUUAAACCGGACAUGCAUCAUACUUGGUUGUGCAUCAUGCCAUGUUUAUGUGAUGGUUGUUUACCAUGUUGUUUGCUUCUUUCCGGUGUUGCUUCUUCAGGUUAGUUCCGUUAACAUCGCGUUUGUGAGGAUCCGUUCGACUACGUCCGUUUGUCUUCUUCAUGGACUCGUUCUUCUUCCUUGCGGGAUCUCAGGCAAGAUGACCAUACCCUCUAAAUCACUUCUAUCUUUGCUUGCUAGAUGCUCGCUCUUUUGCUAUGCCUAUGCUGUGAUACCUACCACUUGCUUUAUCAUGCCUCCCAUAUUGCCAUGUCAAACCUCUAACCCACCUUGUCCUAGCAAACUGUUGUUUGGCUAUGUUACCGCUUUGCUCAGCCCCUCUUAUAGCGUUGUUAGUUGCAGGUGAAGAUUGGAGCUUGUUCCAUAUUUGGAACAUGGAUAUUUGUUGGGAUAUCUCAAUAUCUCUUAUUUAAUCAAUGCAUCUAUAUACUUGGUAAAGGGUGGAAGGCUCGGCCUUAUGCCUGGUGUUCUGUUCCACUCUUGCCACCCUAGUUUCCGUCAUACCGGUGUUAUGUUCCUUGAUUUUGCGUUCCUUACACGGUUGGGUUAUAAUGGGAACCCCUUGACAGUUCGCCUUGAAUAAAACUCCUCCCACAAGGCCCAACAUUAGUUUUACCAUUCGCCACCUAGCCUUUUCUUUCCCUUGGGUCGGCCGGCACAAGGGUCAUCUUUAUNNNNNNNNNNNNNNNNNNNNNNNNNNNNNNNNNNNNNNNNNNNNNNNNNNNNNNNNNNNNNNNNNNNNNNNNNNNNNNNNNNNNNNNNNNNNNNNNNNNNNNNNNNNNNNNNNNNNNNNNNNNNNNNNNNNNNNNNNNNNNNNNNNNNNNNNNNNNNNNNNNNNNNNNNNNNNNNNNNNNNNNNNNNNNNNNNNNNNNNNNNNNNNNNNNNNNNNNNNNNNNNNNNNNNNNNNNNNNNNNNNNNNNNNNNNNNNNNNNCCAGGGCUACCAGGGGCAACUCUGGGCUGGCCUACCCAACGUCUUGAUCAUCCGGUGUGCCCUGAGAACGAGAUAUGUGCAGCUCCUAUCGGGAUUUGUCAGCACAUCUGGGUGGCUUUGCUGGUCUUGUUUUACCAUUGUCGAAAUGUCUUGUAACCGGGAUGCCGAGUCUGAUCGGAUUGUCUUUGGAGAAGGAAUAUCCUUCGUUGACCGUGAGAGCUUGUGAUGGGCUAAGUUGGGACACCCCUGUAGGGAUUUGAACUUUCGAAAGCCACGCCCGUGGUUAUGGGCAGAUGGGAAUCUGUUAAUGUCUGAUUGUAGAAAACUUGACAGCUUAACUUAAGUAAAAUGCAUCAACCGUGUGUGUAGCCAUGAUGGUCUCUUUCCGGCGGAGUCCAGGAAGUGAACACGGCAUUGGAGUUAUGCUUGACAUAGGUUGUUCUAGGAUCACUUCUUGAUCAUAGAUUCUCGAUCGUGCUUUUGCCUUCUCUUCUCGCUCUCAUUUGUGUAUGUUAGCCACCAUAUAUGCUAGUGCUUGCUGCAGCUCCACCUCAUACCUUUUCCCUACCCAUAAGCUUAAAUAGUCUUGAUCGCGAGGGUGUGAGAUUGCUGAGUCCCUGUGACUCACAGAUUCUUCCAAAACCAGUUUGCAGGUGCCGAUGAAAUCGUGCAGGUGACGCAACCGAGCUCAAGGAGGAGCUCGAUGAAGAUCGUGUUCGUUAUGUUGUUCCGUUUCCAGUUGAUCAGUAGUGGAGCCUAGUUGGGAUGAUCAGGGAUCUGUGUAGCAUUUGGGGUAGUCUUCUUUUAUUUUGGUUUCGUAGUUGGACCUUGAUUGUAUCUGGAUGAUGUAAUGCUUUAUCCAUGUAUUGUGUGAAGUGGCAAUUGUAAGCCAACUAUGUAUCCCUUUCCUUAUUCAUUACAUGGGUUGUGUGAAGAUUACUUCUCUUGCGACAUCGCCUUCAAUGCGGUUAUGCCUCUAAGUCAUGCUUCGACAUGUGGGAGAUAUAGCCGCAUCGAGGGUGUUACACUAGAUUACAUAGUAAUGAUUCUAACACCCAUGGAGUCUUGGUGCUGAUCAUGUUUUGCUCGUGAGAGAGGCUUAGUCAAUGGGUCUGCAACAUUCAGAUCUGUAUGUAUCUUGCAAAUCUCUAUGUCUCCCUCCUUGACUUCAUCGCGGAUGGAAUUGAAGCGUCUCUUGAUGUGCUUGGUUCUCUUGUGAAAUCUGGAUUCCUUUGCCAAGGAAAUUGCACCAGUAUUGUCACAAAAGAUUAUCAUUGGACCCGAUGCACUAGGUAUGACACCUAAAUCGGAUAUGAACUCCUUCAUCCAGACUCCUUCAUUUGCUGCUUCCGAAGCAGCUAUGUAUUCCGCUUCACACGUAGAUCCCUCCACGACGCUCUGCUUGGAACUGCACCAACUAACAACUCCAACAUUUAAUAAAAACAUGUAUCCGGUUUGUGACUUAGAGUCAUCCGGAUCAGUUCAAAGCUUGCAUCUACGUAACCGUUUAUGACGAGCUCUUUGUCACCUCCAUAUACGAGAAACAUAUCCUUAGUCCUUUUCAGUUAUUUCAGGAUAUUCUUAACCGCUGUCAAGUGAUCCACUGCUGGAUUACUUUGAUACCUCCCUGCUAAACUGAUAGCAAGGCACACAUCAGGUCUGGUACACAUCAUUGCAUACAUUAUAUAGCCUAUGGCUGAAGCAUAGGGAACACCUUUCAUUUUCUCUCUAUCUUCUGCAGUGGUCGGGCAUUGAGUCUGACUCAACUUCACACCUUGUAAUACAGCCAAGAACCCUUUCUUUGCCUGAUCCAUUUUGAACUUCUUCAAAACGUUAUCAAGGUAUGUGCUUUGUGAAAGUCCAAUUAAGCGUCUUGAUCUAUCUCUAUAGAUCUUGAUGCCCAAUAUAUAAGCAACUUCACCAAGGUUUUUCAUUGAAAAAUUCUUAUUCAAGUAUCCUUUUAUGCUAUUCAGAAAUUCAGUAUCAUUUUCGAUCAACAAUAUGUCAUCUACAUAUAAUAUCAGAAAUGCUACGGAGCUCCCACUCACUUUCUUGUAAAUACAGGCUUCUCCAAAAGUCUGUAUAAAACCAUAUGCUUUGAUCACACUAUCAAAGCGUAUAUUACAACUCCGAGAGGCUUGCACCAGUCCAUAAAUGGAUCGCUGGAGCUUGCACACUUUGUUAGCACCUUUUGGAUCAACAAAACCUUCUGGUUGCAUCAUAUACAAUUCUUCUUUAAGAUAUCCAUUAAGGAAUGCAGUUUUGACAUCCAUUUGCCAAAUUUCAUAAUCAUAAAAUGCGGCAAUUGCUAACAUGAUUCGAACGGACUUAAGCAUCGCUACGGGUGAGAAGGUCUCAUCAUAGUCAACUCCUUGAACUUGUCAAAAACCUUUUGAAACAAUUCGAGCUUUGUAGACAGUAAUAUUACCGUCAGCAUCAGUCUUCUUCUUGAAGAUCCAUUUAUUCUCUUUGGUCUGCCAUCAUCGGGCAAGUCAACCAAAGUCCAUACUUUGUUCUCGUACAUGGAUCCCAUCUCAAAUUUCAUGGCCUCAAGCCAUUUUGCGGAAUCUGGGCUCAUCAUCGCUUCCUCAUAGUUCGUAGGUUCGUCAUGGUCAAGUAACAUGACUUCUAGAAUAGGAUUACCGUACCACUCUGGUGCGGAUCUUACUCUAGUUGACCUACGAGGUUCAGUAGUAACUUGAUCAGAAGUUUCAUGAUCAUCAUCAUUAGCUUCCUCACUUACUGGUGUAGGAAUCACUGGGACUGAUUUCAGUGAUGAACUACUUUCCAAUAAGGGAGAAGGUACAAUUACCUCGUCAAGUUCUACUUUCCUCCCACUCACUUCUUUCGAGAGAAACUCCUUCUCGAGAAAGGAUCCAUUCUUAGCAACGAAUAUCUUGCCUUCGGAUCUAUAAUAGAAGGUGUACCCAACAAUCUCCUUUGGGUAUCCUAUGAAGACACAUUUCUCCGAUUUGGGUUCGAGCUUAUCAGGUUGAAGCUUUUUCACAUAAGCAUCGCAGACCCAAACUUUAAGAAACGACAACUUGGGUUUCUUGCCAAACCACAGUUCAUAAGGUGUCAUCUCAAUGGAUUUAGAUGGUGCCCUACUUAACGUGAAUGCAGCCGUCUCUAAAGCAUAACCUCAAAAGGAUGGCGGUAAAUCAGUGAGAGACAUCAUAGAUCGCACCAUAUCUAAUAAAGUGCGGUUACGAUGUUCGGACACACCAUUACGUUGUGGUGUUCCAGGUGGCGUGAGUUGUGAAACUAUUCCGCAUUGUUUCAAAUGAAGUCCAAACUCAUCACUCAAAUAUUCACCUCCAUGAUCAGAUUGUAGAAACUUGAUUUUCUUGUUACAAUGAUUUUCCACUUCACUCUGAAAUUCUUUGAACUUUUCAAAUGUUUCAGACUUAUGUUUCAUUAAGUAGAUAUACCCAUAUCUUCUCAAAUCAUAUGUGAAGGUGAGAAAAUAACGAUAUCCGCCGCGAGCUUAAAUGUUCAUUGGACCACAUACAUCAGUAUGUAUGAUUUCCAAUAACUCUGUUUCUCGCUCCAUUGUUCCGGAGAACGGGGUUUUAGUCAUCUUGCCCAUGAGGCAUGGUUCGCAAGUACCAAGUGAUUCCAGAAGUCCAUCAGAAUGGAGUUUCUUCAUGCGCUUUACACCAAUAUGACCUAAACGACAGUGCCACAAAUAAGUUGCACUAUCAUUAUCAACUCUGCAUCUUUUGGCUUCAAUGCUAUGAACAUGUGUAUCACUACUAUCAAGAUUUAGUAAAAAUAGACCACUCAUCAAGGGUGCAUGACCAUAAAAGAUAUUACUCAUAUAAAUAGAAUAACCAUUAUUAUCUGAUUUAAAUGAAUAACCAUCUCGCAUCAAACAAGAUCCAGAUAUAAUGUUCAUGCUCAACGCUAGCACCAAAUAACAAUUAUUUAGGUCUAAAACUAAUCCCGAAGGUAGAUGUAGAGGUAGCGUGCCAACGGCGAUCACAUCGACUUUAGAACCAUUUCCCACGCACAUGACUUAGCUUUCUCUAGGAACGCAUUAAAAUUCAACGGAACAACAACACGGGCCAUCUAUCUACAACAACAUAGACAUGCAAAAUACUAUCAGGUACUAAGUUCAUGAUAAAUUAAAGUUCAAUUAAUCAAAUUACUUAAGAACUCCCACUUAGAUAGUCAUCUCUCUAAUCAUCUAAGUGAUCACGUGAUCCACAUCAACUAAACCAUGUCCGAUCAUCACGUGAGAUGGAGUAGUUUUCAAUGGUGAACAUCACUAUGUUGAUCAUAUCUACUAUAUGAUUCACGCUCGACCUUUCGAUCUUAGUGUUCUGAGGCCAUAUCUGCAUAUGCUAGACUCGUCAAGUUUAACCCGAGUAUUCCGCGUGUGCAAAACUAGCUUGCACCCGUUGUAUGUGAACGUAGAGCUUAUCACACCCGAUCAUUAUGUGGUCUCUGGGCAUGACAAACUGUAGCAACGAUGCAUACUCAGGGAGAACACUUAUACCUUGAAAUUUAGUGAGAGAUCAUCUUAUAAUGCUACCAUCGAACUAAGCAAAAUAAGAUGCAUAAAGGAUAACAUCACAUGCAAUCAAUAUAAGUGAUAUGAUAUGGCCAUCAUCAUCUUGUGCCUUUGAUCUCCAUCUCCAAAGCACCGUCAUGAUCACCAUCAUCACCGGCUUGACACCUUGAUCUCCAUCAAAGCAUCGUUGUCUUCUCGCCAACUAUUGCUUCAUGAAUAUCGCUACCGCUUAGUGAUAAAGUAAAGCAAUUACAUGACGAUUGCAUUUCAUACAAUAAAGCGACAACCAUAUGGAUCCUGCCAGUUGCCGAUAACUGUGUUACAAAACAUGAUCAUCUCAUACAAUAAAAUUUAGCAUCAUGCCUUGACCAUAUCACAUCACAACAUGCCCUGUAAAAACAAGUUAGACGUCCUCUACUUUGUUGUUGCAAGUUUUACGUGGCUGCUACGGGCUGAGCAAGAAUCGUUCUUACGUAUGCAUCAAAAACCACAACGUGGUAUAGUGAUUGCUUUUUGAUCUUCAGAAAAAACCCUGUUUAUUGAAUCCGAUUCAACUAAAGUUGGAGAAACUGGCACCCACCAGCCACCUGUGUGCGAAGCACGUCGGUAGAACAAGUCUCGCGUAAGCGUACGCGUAAUGUCGGUCUGGGCCGCUUCAUCCAACAAUACCGCUGAAUCAAGAAUCAACUAUUGACGGCAAGCAAUAUGUAUACACCCACGCCCACAACUCCUUUGUGUUCUACUCGUGCAUAUAACAUCUACGGAUAAACCUGGCUCUGAUGCCACUGUUGGGAACACAAUAAUUCCAGAAACAUUCCUACGCACACGCAAGAUUAUGGCGAUGCAUAGCAACGAGAGGGAAGAGUGUUGUCCACGUACCCUCGUAGACCGUAAGCGGAAGCGUUAUGACAAUGCGGUUUAUGUAGUUGUACGUCUUCACGAUCGACCAAUCCUAGUACCGAAGGUAAGGCACCUCCGCGAUCUGCACACGUUUGGCUCGGUGACGUCCCACAAACUCAAGAUCCAGUAGAGUGUCGAGGGAGAGCUUCAUCAGCACGACAGCGUGAUGACGUUGAUGAUGAUGCUACCGGAACAGGGCUUCGCCUAAGCACCGAUGCGAUAUGACCGAGGUGGAUUAUGAUGGAGGGGGGCACCGCACACGGCCAAGAGAUCAAUGAUCAACUUGUGUGUAUAUGGGGUGCCCCUCUCCCCCGUAUAUAAAGGAGUGGAGGAGGGGGAGGGGCCGGCCUCCUAGGCGCGCCCCAAGGGGAGUCCUACUCCCACCGGGAGUAGGAUUCCCCCCUUCCCUAGUUGGAUUAGGAGAGAAGGAAGGGGGAGGAAGGAGGAAGGAAAGGGGGGCUGACCCCCCUCCCAAUUCAGAUUGGGCUUGGGGGGCGCGCCUCCUCCUUUGCUCCCUUCUCCUCUCUCCCGGUAUGGCCCAAUAAGGCCCAUAUACCUCCCGGGGGUUCCGAUAACCUCCCGGUACAUCGGUAAAUGCCCGAUCUCACCCGGAACCAUUCCGAUGUCCAAAUAUAGUCGUCCAAUAUAUCGAUAUUUAUGUCUCGACCAUUUCGAGACUCCUCGUCAUGUCCGUGAUCAUAUCCGGGACUCCGAACUACCUUCGAUACAUCAAACCACAUAAACUCAUAAUACGAUCGUCACCGAACGUUAAGCAUGUGGACCCACGGGUUUGAGAACUAUGUAGACAUGACCGAGACACGCCUCCGGACAAUAACCAAUAGUGGAACCUGGAUGCUCAUAUUGGUUCCUACGUAUUCUACGAAGAUCAUUAUCGAUCAAACCACAUAACGAUAUAUGGUGUUCCCUUUGUCAUCGGUAUGUUACUUUCCCGACAUUUGAUCGUCAGUAUCUCAAUACCUAGUUCAAUCUCAUUAACGGCAAGUCUCUUUACUCGUUUCGUAAUGCUACAUCCCGUAACUAACUCAUUAGCUACAUUGCUUGCAAGGCUUAUAGUGAUGUACAUUACUGAGAGGGUCCAGAGAUACCUCUCCGACAAUCGGAGUGACAAAUCAUAAUCUCGAUCUAUGCCAACUCAACAAACACCAUCGGAGACACCUGUAGAGCACCUUUAUAAUCAUCCAGUUAUGUUGUGACAUUUGGUAGCACACAAAGUGUUCCUCCGGUAUUCGGAAGUUGCAUGAUCUCAUAGUCAUAGGAACAUGUAUAAGUUAUGGAGAAAACAAUAGCAAUAAACUAAACAAUCAUCGUGCUAAGCUAAUGGAUGGGUCAAGUCAAUCACAUCAUUCUCUAAUGAUGUGAUCCCGUUAAUCAAAUGACAACUCAUGUCUAUGGUUAGGAAACAUAACCAUCAUUGAUUCAAUGGGCUAGUCAAGUAGAGGCAAACUAGUGACACUCUGUUUGUCUAUGAAUUCGCACAUGUACUAAGUUUUCAGUUAAUACAAUUCUAACAUGAAUAAUAAACAUUUAUCAUGAUAUAAGAAAAUAUAAAUAACAAUUUUAUUAUUGCCUUUAGGGCAUAUUUCCUUCAAUUUGUUAUCGAGAGUGGCUCAUUUAAUUGAUCCAGUUUCUAAUAACUAAGAUAAAAAUCUAAUUAGACAAACUUUAUAGGUAUUGAUGCAAAACGAGUCUUGGCUAUCCCUCUUUCCCAACAUGACAUGCAAGAUUUUGUUGCUUAGAGUUUUAUGAUAUGUUUUUGGUUCAAUCAACCUACCAUGUGGAAUGGGAUCAUCGACAUGGAAGCAAAACUACGACACACUAACGACAUGGGACAAACCGCGACUAUUCAUAUCUGGUGUAAGAUUUAGAAGCUUUUGUGUCCGGCAAAGGUUACAAAAUUUUAUUUGGCGCACAUUGCAUGACACCCUCCCGUGUCGUGUUAUGUUAUUAAUAGACAUAUGAAAGAUCUACCACAAAUGUCAUUAUUGUUUUUUGGGAUAGAAGAUAAAAAAAUGUGUUAUUUCUAUGCAAUGAAGCAAAGCAGGCUUGGAGGGGGAUUGGGAUGAAUGGAAUUAUUAAUCAAGCAUGUGAUGUUGACCGUGCCAGCGAGGCGGUUAUGAAAUUCUUACUUCAUUUGCCAGCUCAGAAUUUAUCUAUUUUGGGCUUUUAAAAUGCCUGGAAAAUGAUUAUCAUUAAUGUCUGGUAUUUGUGGCGGGAAAGGCGUAAACUAAUUCAUGAGGAAAUAGUUUAGAAUGUGAUGAGGACAUCAAUACCAUUGUUACACCCACAACCCCUGUUGUCAUACAUACUGGACCAAUUACUAGAGCUCGUGCACGCCAAUUGAAUUAACAUGUACUUUUGUUUCUUGGUAACAAAAUCUAAUGUUCAUAAGAAUAUGAUGCUGCCUAAAUUGGAUAUAUUUGUGUUGAUUACUAGUCUGGUUGGAGAUGUGGCCACGGUUUAUGUUCAUAAGAAUACCAGGGGCUGUGGUAUUUGUGUUGAUUACCUAAAUAUAUUUGUGUUGAUUAACAGGGGCUGUGGUAUUUUGAAAACAGGGGCUGUGGUAACCAACACAAAAAAAAGAUUAAAGGGGUAUUUCGAAAAUACCUCUAUUUAAAAUAAAAAUACUACCUUAUCCCUAUCUUCUUUCCACAAACCGUGGCCACAUCUCCAACCAGCCGCCCCCUUCUCCUUGCCCCUCACUUCCUCCUCUCUCACGCCCAAGAGCUCCACCCCCUCCCAUGGUGUCUCCUCCCUGCCCUCCCCUCUCCUCCCUAGGCCCUCCAAGCUGCACCAUAUCCUGCACCACCUCGAGGGAAGCCCUCUAAUCUGGUUGUGAGGAAGGAUAAGAGGAGGAACAGGAAGACCAAGAGGAGAAGAACAAGAGGAGGAGGAGAAGAAGAGGUUGCAAGAGAAAAACAAGGGAGGAGGAGGCCUCCCCAACACUCCCCUCACCAAACGCCUCCAAUCCCACCACCAAGUUGAGGUCCUCGCUCUUCUUACCUGCACCAUAGCUCUGUUUUGGUGAAGGAUUCCGGGUGGUUAAGAAAGGGAGUAGCAGAUACAGGAUGGAUUGAAGCAAAAUUGGUUAUUGUUGCUGUUUCUGCGCGUCCAGAUUCAGAAAUCAGCUAUUUCGAGUUCCUAGAUGGAAAAAUCAGAGGAGGAGCAUGUGGAAUGUUUUGUAGGUGUUGUUCCCAUGAUCCUUUUGAGUGGUCAUUCAUUCAAUUCGGUUCAGCCGUUUAGCCUUGGCGAUAAAAACAAGUUGCUGCGCUGUUUCUGCAAAGCAGUAAUUUUCAUAGCUUUUGUUCAUAGUUUUUCAUGAUAUUGAAGGGUUGAUAAAUUGGUGUUAUACAAUGGUAUGGCUACGUGGUACCUUGUAGUUCAUAGGUCAAUUCCAUUUACUUGAUUCCCAUGGGUAUUUUUGUUACUAUGAACUUCCAAGGAUGGCUAUUCAAUAUUUCUGAAUCUGAGUACAGCAGAGCAGUAUUUGCUGGUUUUGAUCUCCAUAAGUUCAUAUUUUGAGGUUGAAUAGUUGGAGUUAUUUGUAAACAAGUUCCUUACGAAUCUGUAGCCAUCUUGUUUGUUUAUUUUUGAUCUUCCUAACUCAAGAUAUGAUUUUUUCCGUGAAUGGACAACAAAGGGUUGCUUCCCGGGAAUGCGAUUAGGCGCAUCAUUGUGUGUGCUUUACAUAGUGUUGAGUAUAAUGUUUAUUAGGAAAGAUGAGAUAGAUUAGGAUUUGUUCUGGCUUAUCUUGUACUCCAAGUAAAUGAUUGUACUCUUAUAUAUAUACCCACUAGGCUCAAGCAAUACAAUGAACUAUUCCAUCAA